CUACCAUUUGUUGGUUCCCUACUCUUUUUCUCCACCAAGCAGUAAGAGAAUUAGCUUGAAGAUCCUACAAAAAAAUUGAUCUGUUGGUUCCCUGCUCUUUUUCUCCACCAAGCAGUAAGAGAAUUAGCUUGAAGAUCCUACAAAAAAAUUGAUCUGUUGGUUCCCUGCUCUUUUUCUCCACCAAGCAGUAAGAGAAUUAGCUUGAAGAUCCUAAAAAAAACACUUGGAGUUACUAUAUAAAUAUGGGAAAGUAAUGUUAUAUGACAUUACUUUUCUCUUCUAGUGUAAAAUUCAAAUUCUAGACAAACACUAGCUAGUUAUAACAUUCUAUAUUUCAUUUCAUGAUAACAUACUAUAUACUACUAAAUUUUAUCAAUAUUUUGAACUUUUGUUACUUGUAAUAUGUUGUCUGUCUCUGUUAUGUUUAACUUUUGGUUGAACUUCUUGUUAUGCAGCUUCAUGGGAAUAUAUAUGAAUCUCGUACACUAUCACUCUCACCCCCUCGGUUUACUUCCUCUAUUUCUUGGUAAUUGUUGGAACCUUAAUCUAAUUGCAAGCACACCACACAUUCACAUUUUCUCACCACCCACACUUACAAGCCAUAAUUGGUUUUAACAUGUAGUUUGACAUCACUUAAGCUCUAUAAGCAGUAUUUUCUUGCCAGCUCUGAGGAUGGGACGGUAAGUUCUUAUAAUUCUUCCAUCCAUAUAUAUGUGUUUGUAUGAUUGUAUAUACAUAUAUUCACAUUUGAAUUUCUUACAUCAUUAUAAGUAGUUAAACAUACAUAUAUGAUUUGUAGGAAGUUGAAAAUGUCAAACUAAAAGUGCUCGUUAGGUUUAGCCCUUCUAGUGGCUAGUAAUUUUUUUUGGUCAUAUAUAUAUAUAUAUAUAUAUGAAGAUGUAAAGAGAUGACAUAAAAAUAAGAGUAAAUUAAUCAUAAAAUGAAGAAGAAAAAAGAGAUAAACUUAUAGAAACUGAGUGACAGAAACAGUGGAUCACCAUAAGCCACAUAAUUAUUCACAGCCAACAACCCAAAUUAGACAUGUGUUAGAAUUCUCCGUUUUUAAAUAAGUGACUAAGCAAACCCAGCCUCUCCUAAAUUUUCUCCAAAAUCUACAAUUCCCACCUACCCCAUCCCAUUCCAUCCUAACCCAACCCCUACCCCUACCCAUACCCAAAGAAAUUCUAAGUUUUGGAUUAGAAAAUUUAUAUGCAUUCUUAAACUCAACAUAUACUUCAAUAUAUUAUUAUGUGAUGUCUAAACCUUAACCCUAGUAUAUUGGCUAAUUAAUUAACCAAGAAAUGAAAAGUUUGUGAAUCACUAGAUAAGUUGCAAAAUCUUGUUUUGUACCUUGCAUGUUCUAGCAGUCAGUGACAUGUUUACUCACCGCAGAUGAAGCUUUAUGACCAUAGGAUGGUUGAGAGAGGGGCAGUACUCUCCUAUCGAGGAGAUAUAGGUCUAAAUGACAACAUUCAGCAUGCAGUUGAUCCUUCAGAAAAAUUUGUCGUGUCUGGUAACAGUUUAACGGAUAUGCAAUUUUUUCUUGUUAUUUAAAUUUAGUCUUUAAAAAAUAUUUAUUUAAUGAUUAUAUAAAUGAAAAUAGGUGGAACAGAUGGUAAGGUGGGACUUUGGAGCGUUAAGUCUGGGGAACUGCUAUUUGAGGAGAGGUUUAUGGACAGUAUCCCCUCACAAUUUUGCUGGGGAAUAAAAGAAGGUAUUACUCAAUUACUCAGGAUAAAUUCCUACAUAUCAUCAAUACCCCUGAGGCAUAGUUCUCUUCUAGAAAAAGGUGCAUUUCUUUCAUUUGCAUAUUAUUAAGUAAAUUAGUUUUGAGUGACAUUAAUUUACAGAUAACGGUGCAAAGGUUGGCAGCAUAUAUAACCAGCACUCUAACUUUGGUGAAGCGUGGAUUGGAGGACUCCAUGGUCUCUACCUUAUGAGAUGGUGAUACUUUGUUAUUUAUAUUGGUUUUCUUUCUACCUCAAUAACUGAAGGCUUAAUGGGAGAUGCAUCUAUUGGUAAUCUUGACAUGCAUGCUGGAUUUAAGGGCAUUACAGAAGUUUUAUAUUGCUUUUGCAGUUCUCCUUUUCCAUGUCAUGUUGUUGUUCACUAACAAAUUGUUUAUUGACUACAGUAUUACUAUGUGUACAGUGUAUAGUUGGAAAAAUUAUAGAUUAGAAUUUUACUCCGGUCCCCAAAUCUAAAAUAUACACAAGUUAAGAAUGAAUUUUCAAGUAAUUUUUUUUAAUUAUUUCAAACAAUAAUAUUUGAAUGAUUCAUAGUUUAUUAAAACCAUGACUACCCUAAUUAUUACCCAAUGACCCCCUUGCUACUAUAUAAUGAAUAUGAGUAUUGUAUAUCAUAUAGCAGCACCUACUAUAUAAUUUUUCUAUUUAAGUUAAUCACAAAUUAAUCAAAUUUAUUUACUAUUUUUUUCUUUUAUUAGAAUAAAUAAUUUUGAUUAUAUUAUUUAUGUUUUUAUCAAUUCCAUUUUUUUCAUAUUUACCAUGAAUGUUUUUCUAUUUUUCAAACAUAUAUUAUCUAAUAUUUUUAAUACGAAUUUUUUUAAAAAUUAGCUGAAGAACUAGCAUUGUCCUGUGCACCAAUUAACAAGUCUACAUUUAUAUAUUUAUACUUUUCAUGUAUUCAAACCAUUCUUAUAGUUCCUAAUUAAAAAAAACAUUUUUCUAGUUUGAAACCUAUUUUCCUCACAUUAUUACUUGAUGGAUGCACUUACAUCUAUUGAUAACUUUCAGAAAGUUGGGGUUAAAAGUAUUUUAUCAAAUACACAACCAACUCCGAUAUUAACACAUACAUUAAAAUUAAAAACAAAAGUGAGAAUUUUUCUAUGUUUAAUUUUUGGAAGGUCAAACUACAUAUACGGUAAACAUUGGAUAUUGUGCACACAUGUCAUCCUACUUGCAAUACAUCCAAAACUUAAAGUCUAAAAUGGUCAUAUUGGAUAUUAUGUAUAUGUGAUCGUACUUGCAAUACAUCCAAUACCUUAUUGUCUCUCCAUAUAAAUGUAAACAUACACAUCUAAAUAAAAAUACACCAAUAAUAUUUCUGUUAAGAAAGUCUGAGAGAAGAUAAAUAUGGUUUCAUCUAAAAACUACAAAAUGCUGUCUGAGAGAAGAUAAAUAUGGUUUCAUCUAAAAACUACAAAAUGCUGUCUGAGAGAAGAUAAAUAUGGUUUCAUCUAAAAACUACAAAAUGCUGUCUGAGAGAAGAUAAAUAUGGUUUCAUCUAAAAACUACAAAAUGCCAAGUGAGUUGAAUGUAAUCUUAGAAAACUGAUGUGAGAAAGAUAUGUUUAUAAUUGCUUUUCCUUAAGUAUUUACUUGUUGUUUUUACAUUUUAGAAAACGGAUUUGGUGAACAUAAACUAAUAAUUAGGCUCUUGUUAAAAGUAUUAGACUAGACUAAAAUUAUGUCAUAACAUGGUUUUUGGUCCAAACAUAAAUUAAGUUUUUUUAACAUUUUGGAACAAUAGUUUGAAAUUUCUUGAACAAAAUAUAAGGCAGAUAAAUUCAAUAUCCCAUUAUGCAAAUCAUUUCUUUACAAUUUUUAAAUCUCUCCCGAUUUUUUAUAUUUUAAAAUUUUCUAAAGUAUUGAUUCUGAUAAUAUUAAAAUUACUCCCAAACACUAUUUCACGGAGUUUUCAAUGUUUGUAUUAAUUAUAACCGAGUAACAUCAUAUUCUUGUUCUUCUUUUUUACUUUUCUCAAAAAUAUGUAUAAUCUUCUUAAAACCUGACCCUAUUCCGUUAACAAAACCAAUUAAGUAUAGACAAAAGAGCUUAGGUAGAUUUUUGAAAUAAUAAAUAAAUUGUAAAUUAAUUAAAAUUCUUUAGUGAUAAUAUUUUCAUAUUAAUUUUAAGUAUUAUAACAUGUUAAUAUCUAUUAGGCUGAUCUGAAUCAGUAUGUAUCAAAACAUUAUUACACUUUUAUGCUAAUUAUUUAUCCUCUACAGACUAAUUUGAUUUACUUUUUAUAAAAAAGCACAAAUAUCAUAUAAAAUCGUCAAUCCCCUCCCAGAGAACUCAGCCACCAAGUAAAGAAAAGUAAUCCGCACAGAAAAGUAACCCAUGUUACAGGGUUAAUAUUACUGCUGGAAUUUUUUUACUGUAAUUAGGUUAAAUUAUUGGCUGCAUUAUAUGGCAUAACUGCAUAAGUAGUUUAAAACACACCGUACUGAACUUGCAAAGCCCUAGAAAAUAUCGCCCCCGUAGAUUUCAGACAGCUGAACAUCUGUAGUACUGCAAGCCCCCCCACACAAAAGUGCAAUUCUUCUUGAUCUUUUUAGAUAUGUACAUGAAUUUUCGAUAGAAAUUUUGCUUAUCUACAGAUCUGUGUUGUGUGUCUACGUACAUCUACAACACAGUGAUAUAGAAAGUUUCACAGAAUUUGAUAUGGGGUCCACCAUAAAUACAGAAUCUUCCAAAUCUCCUUUCGUUUUGGAACCUAAACAGGUAAUUAUUUUACAUCACUCCAUACAUUUUGUUUUCAUUCUCUGCUUUUAAUAAUUAGCAAUUUAUUAGAAAGUCCAAAUUCUGAGGUUCCGGCUGUAAAUGUGUGAUUCAAUAUAUGCUUUGUUUGAGUGAGAAAUGGUUAAUGAUAUUUUCUUUUUGGUCCAUAUUCGUGCUUUGCUGGUUUAAGGUUUUAAUCAUUGUGGAUAUCUGUUUCUAUAAUUACACCAAUUUUUUUUCUUUUUGUGCAUAUCUGUACAUUAAAUUAAAAUUAAUAUAUUCAGUCGUAAGAUAUAGUCGUCGCAAGAUAGUUUUUUUUUACAAAUCUGAGUCCGUCAUAAAUUAAGCGUCACAAGUUUAAUAUAUCUGUUGAAAGAUAGCCAUCGUAUAAUGUCCCUAUCUUUGAAAUGUCGUAGGUUAGAGAUGCGUUCGUUGUAAAUUAAGCGUUACAAGUUUAAUAUAUCUGUUGAAAAAUAGCCAUCGUAUGAUGUCCCUAUCUUUGAACCGUUUUGGGGCAGGUUUAUAUUAUAUACAUAUAAUUUGGUAUGCGAGAAUAAUGACAAGGAACUUCAGAAGCUAUAAAUUGCAAAUCCAAAUCCGUUUAACUUACGACGAGUACAUAAGCGUCGUUUUUUAAAAAUAUGCAAAAAUAAAUACGAAAAUUUUUCCAUCAUAUAUACAAAUAAUAGGCGAGCCUAUGUUAUUAUAUAAAUACAAGAUAAAACAAAUUAAGAAAUCAACUCUACAACUUGCAACGGUUGUUUCAUCGUAAUAUCACUCAUACUAUUGUGAAAUUAGAAGUUAUAAAAUUCUAGUCGCAAAAAAAAAAAUAUAAUGUGUGCCCAGACAAGAGUAAUGAUGAUAUUUCUGUCGCAACUGUAACUAACGAUUAUAUUUUUGCCGUAAUUAAAUAUUAUAACUAACGACGGUUUCCGGUCAAUAUAGAGCCCAACAUGGGCCACAUAUAUAAUCAAAUCAACACUCUAAGUUUUAUUAUUAUAUGAGGUGGUGAUGCUUGUUAAACAAAAUUGCAGUUCUUUGACAAAUAACCCCGUGAUACUAUAUAUUUAACAAAUAAAUUUUAUGAAAUAUUUAAAUUUUCUAUGACUUGAUAAAAGUUAGCGAAAAAUUUUAAAUAGCUAGUUGACUCGCUUAACUUUCAUAUAAUAUAUUAUUAAAUAGCCUAACUAUAUAAUAGGAACCGAGAAUAUGUAAACUAGAUAAAUUAUAGAUAAAUGUAUGAAUUUUAAUUAUUUAGUACCAUGGACUAAAUUAUAUUAUAAAUAAUAAUUUAUCAAAAUUAUAAAUAUUUAGGUGACUCAAUUAUAUUUCUUACAAAUUUUAAUUAGCCAAAUGAAAAACAUAUUUUUAUUCGUUGAAAUAUAAAAAAAUGGACAAGGAUUCAAUCUCUCAUGAUCAAAUAUAAAAUACUAAAUUAUAGGCAAUUAUUAACAUCUAUUAUUAAACUAGUAAUUAUGUAUUUACAAAAAUAAAAUAAUAAUACAUUAUUAUAAAACAAUAAUUAUAUCCGAGUUUUAAAAGUCAAUAUAUUAUCCUAGGGCAUUAUUUACUAAAGACUUGAAAAUGCAUUAGUUAUACUCGGACAGAAUAUUUAUAACAUAUAAUAUUAUAAGUAUUUAUUACUUUUUGUAUAAUUAGUUAUAUAUAUAGAGACUAAAAGAAAUAAAAUUAAAUAAGAUGAAAUCUUUUUACAUUUAAAAUGUAGGCUAGCGCUCAAUAAAAAUAAAUAGUUCACAAUGCAGUGUAAUGCAGUGUACCCCACUAAAAACACUCAGGGAUGAUAAAUAGUUCACAAUGCAGUGUAUCCCACUAAAAAUACUAAAAAAACUCAGGGACUAAUUUCUCUCUUCCUCUCUGAGUGUUUAAAGCCUAUCGCUGUCUAAAAGCCCUUAAAUGUAUCGCCUCUCCUAAAAUUUUCAUCAGUCUCCCCUCUGCAGCAUCCAAGGUCUCACAGAAACACAAAUUUUCUCAUUCUAAACCAAAAUUGUCACCCAUUUCACUAUGCAUCCAACAAGAAUUAGUGUACCUUCCUCCUCUUGUUCAUCACAACCUCAACAGGUAAAUUUUUCAUUUUUUUACCAAUUUAUAUUUUUGUUUCGCUUUGUUUUCUAAUAUUCAUUUUUGUUGUCUCCCGUAACUAUGUAAUUUCUUUUAAUUUUUAAUUUAUUAAUUCUUUUCCAGUACCAAGUUUCUAUAUUAUUUGCACAUUAAAAGUUGAACUAAUUUCUUUAAUGUUUUGAGAUCAUGUGAUUUUAAGUUAUCCUAUCUAUAUAAAUAUGGGGUUUUGUUUAGGCGUCAAAAGUUGAACUAAUUCAUGAACUUUUCUAGUAAGAUGAGUUGAGAUCAGGUGAUAAUAAGUUAUCUUUUCUAGGGCCCUGUUUGGAAAUUAGAGGUUUGGGGUAAAAUUAGAGAUUUGAGAUGAUUUAGAAGUUUGACCACUAGAAUCCGCUAAAAUUGAUGUUUGGUAGUUAGCGGAUUGAAAUAGAGGUUUGGAUCCAAAAAGCUAAUUUUGAAAAAGCUACUUUGAGGAGCUUUUUGGGUUAGCGGUUUGGGUAUGUGUCACAAAAAGCUCAUCAAACAGCUAUUUACCAAACAGUUUUACAACAAACCGCUAAUUCAAUCCGGUAGUCAAAACAUCUAUUUCAAUCAGCUAGUCAAACCAUCUAAUUCAAUCCGCUAACCGCUAAUUUCCAAACAGAGCCUAUAUAAGAAUGGGGUUUUAGUUUGGCACUUUUAUAUAUGAAUGGGGCUUUUUACGCACUUUAAAUAGGCCUUGUUAGAUAGAAAAUGUUGACUAAUAUUUGUGCUUUUAUGUUUUACUUUAGAGAAGGCCCUCAUUUUUCAACUGAAAAUAUUGUCUAAUGGGGUUUUAUCAUGUUCAAUUGGUUAGUUUAGUAAAGCCAAAAUCUCUAUGAUUAAGGGUACCACUCAAAAACCAUAUAUGUGAAACGAUCGAGCCAUAUUCUAGAUACUAGAUAGUGUUUUGAUGAAGAGUGCUCGGUAUUUUAAGCCCCAGGGAUGACUAAUCACACAAUACCCGUAGGGCAUACAUUGAUCCAAUUUGCAAACUGUAGAUUUGGUAAUUUAUUAAGAGACUACUUGACUUUCCAUAUUUGCUGCAAAUUAUUUACAGGUUCCCAAUUGAAAAUUUAUUGUCAGAAUGGCAUACUUAUCCAAAAUGUGUUUGCAAUUGCAACAUGAUUAUUGUUGUGAUUGACAGACUGACACCCAACUUGCAAACUAAGUCUUCAAACUAUGAAAGUUUGCAGGGUUGAAUGAACCAAUAAAAUAUUUUAAGUGUAUGCUUUCUUGGGUUUAGUAACCCCAUACAAGAUUUUUCUGUUGAAUAAUCCUCUAGUUACAUGGUUAUAACGUUUAAAAUUUGCGCAUCAUGAGUCACUUGCAAAUACCAAAGGCAUAUAAACAAAUUAUCGACAUUUUAACCAAUUAUCAAAAAGAAAUGGUGAUUUUUCUUUUACAAAAGUUUUGAUAGUGAUCUUACAUUCAUAUUUUUGGGCAGUUUGUUUAUAUUAUUUGAUGAUAUACUAGCACAAAUCACCACUUUUAACUAUAUAAACAUCAUUCAUCUAUUUACACAGUAAUAUAUCUUUAUAGAACUCAAUCACAAAGUGCAUUCAUAUAUAAUUUUAUUCGUUAUGAGAUGAUAUGUGGUAAAAAACAAAAGUACUUUCAUUAACCACAAUGUAAUGUAGUCGAGACAAACCCCCGACGGUCGAUACAACCAGGUUAGAAAGCAAAUUAUAUACUAAAAAUAAUUUAGUUUUCAUUAUAUGUUUUGUGGUUAAUUCUUAAUUAAUUGUUGUUAAGAGCCAGACAUUGGAGUUGUAUUAUUGUUGGAACCGGAUCAUAGUUAUUGGUUUAUCAUUGUGAAAAUGAUGUUUUUUCGGUAUAACAAGCUGACUAAGUAAUAAAUUGUAUCGUUCAAGAUUUCGAACGGCCCUUUUCUAGCUAGUAGUUAUAUUUGACUCAAACAAAAUUAAUGUUCAAUUUUCUCUUUUUAAAAUUGUAUCAUAUCAUAUUCAAGUUGUCAUUUUUGAUUGAUUCAUUUGUUUGCUAAUAUUGAUCUAUUUUAUCUUGUAUCGCUUUUCAUUAAAGUUGUCCUUUAUUGAGUGAUUAAUGCUUGAUAAUUAAUAGAAAUUUGUACAAUUAUUGCAAAAUAGUGUGUAAUUGGAGUAACCUACCUAGUCCACCAUCAUAUCUACAUUAUAAUGGGGAACACAAGCACCAACGGUAACAUCUUGCAUAUAUGAUUUCUAACAUAAAAGAAUUGUGAUAAUUUAUAAAUUGGAAAUAAUUAUUUUGACGUGGCAUAAAAUUUCAAUUUACAAUUAUAAAAUAUCGGAUUAUAAAUAUACCCACACAUAAUAGACUAAUAGUUAGUGAAUCUAGUGUUGAGACCCAACCCCGGCCAUAUACAUUAGGCCCAAUUCACAAAUAUAGACGGCCCAGUGAAUGAACAAUAUAUGCCGGGUAUUAUCAUAUGAAGUCAAAAUCCCUAGUCACAAUUAGUCAUCGGCACAAUCCUCAAUUUUCUUUUUAAAAUUUCUAGCCACGGCAAGCCCUGCGCACAAUCUUCGUUGUUCUUUAGCUUCAUUUUGCUCCAUACAUUUUUGAGGAUAGUCGUCUUAUUGAUAUAUGUCUCUAUGUCUACUCACCUCCCACUUGUGAUUUUGAUCAUCGUGUUCGUGUGUAACAUGGAUUCUAUCGUGAUUAAACUCGCUAAAUAUUUAUUGGUAAGUUAUAUCUCAAAUUUUCAUGUUUUGAUAAUGAUAUAUUCAUUAAUUUCAUUUCAUAUAUGGAUAAUUGUGCGUAGAUUAUCCAAUCUAAUUGUUUUGAUGAAAAUUGUAAGGCUAUAAAAUGAUUGUUUAUCAUUUGUUUUUGAUUUAUAAUUAGAUCUACCGAUCUCUUUUAAUGUAAAAGUUCUUUUUAGUCGGAGAAUAGAUUAUGAGUGCUCUUAAUUAGUAGGAUUUGGUAGUCUGGAUACGGCUUCAUAAGUGAGAUUGAGUUGAGUUUUAUAAGUUGCAAGUUCAGUUUUUAUUCUGUUAUUUAUGUUAACGACCGUCACCUAAAUGCAAGUUUUAUUUUCUUGAAUUAUGUAAAUGUAAGCUUUUUGAGUUCAGUAACCCAAUUUCAAGUUUUGGGUCAGUUCGAUUAUGUUUUAGCCUAUUAACCUAAAUAAAAAAAAGCAAUGUUAGUAGUAAAAAGUUGGAAGUUAUGAGAUGAUGAUGAUGAAAGAGAAGAUGUUGCACAGUAUAUAAAAAGUUUAUAUUUGGGUGCAGCCACCACCAUCUCUUGGUUAAUUAGUAAUUUACCAGGGGGAAAGCUAUAUAUGUUAGAAUUUAAUGAGAUAAUGAAUUUUUAAGAUUUUCUUAAUAAAUAAAUUAUAAUUUAGAACUUAAUGGUACAAUGUCAUGUUUUUAUGGUCACGCCACUAGCAGUAUCCAACUUGCCACUAAGUCAUCAAAGAAGUUUGAAUUCAACUCACUAAACUAAUAACAACUUUUUUCUUUUUUUUUUUAUCACAAAACUAAUAACAACUUAAUAAAGUGCAAACUUUUUUAGGUCUAGUUACGCAUAUACGUACAAGUUUUUCAGUUUUAGUGACCCGGCCCACUUGUAAAUUGUUUGUCAGUUGAGUGACCAACUAGUCAUAUAAUAUUUUUUUUCAUGUGAUAGGCCAUUGAGCGAAAACAAGGUAAAAAUUAUCCUUAUUAUUUUUCAAUCGUAUUCUUAUCUCAGUGUUAUGUGAAUGUGUGUGAACUUGUUGAAACUACUGUAUUGUUGCUUCACUAGUCUACCUAUAACAUAAAAUAGCAGUCACUCAGGUAUCUUUUUUUUACAAAUUAAGUUUUAAGAAACUUGUUGGAGAAUAUAUUAUGCCUUGUUAUUUGUUUAUUUAUCAUUUCUCUUUCCGUCACAAUGUAGUUUGUAUUUCCAUUGGGGAGCAAAUGCUCUCCUGCGUCGUAAAGCUAAUUUUUGCCUCUUCCUCACAGGCAAAAGCAUAUAAAGGAUUAGGAGUAGCAGCCGUUAAAAUGGUUCAGACAAGAGAGCUAUGUGGUAAUAUCACCACUUCUGUGAAAGGGAAAUACAACUUUAAGGAGGAAUACAUAAACAGAGUAGUGUCAGAACCUGCGGUAUGCUCUUAUAUUCACAAGCACAUAUAUAUAUUUUUAAUUUGUUUAGUCAUAGUCAUGCCUCUAAUUGUGCUUGUAUCCGGUGGGAGAAACCUGGUUAUGAAUUUCGGUAAAAAAAAUUUCUACUGAAACUUUAACUUGUAGCAAGAACAAUCUCAAGUCUGUUAGAUGUGUAUGCUGUUAUACAGUAAUUUUUCCUAAUGCCUUAACAGCAUAGGUUCCAUGUUGUUUUUUUUAUCUAAUUUUCCGAGGAUAACUCCUCACCAAACUACUACCAGUAGACCUAUAUAUAUGUGUGUUGGAAAUUACCUUCAAACAGUAACGGUAACAUUUUAUUGUUAAUGUGUGGUGCAAUGAAAUUUGACAAAGACAUGCGUUUGAAAUUUGAAAUUUGAAUUAAAGGCAUUAUUAGCAAAUAGCAAUAGGUCAUUUUUAUAUAUGUUACUUCAUUAUUAACAUAAAGUUUACAAUUACUGGGCCUUGUUACCAUAUCUACGAUUAAAGUUAAAAUGUUCUGUUUGUUUGAUACAUCAGAUUUGGAGGUAUAGUAUGACAGAGAAUAUUUUUUCAUGGACCUUCGAGCAAGCUGAUAUUGUUGUUAAUAUGCCAUAUGGGGAUAUUAGAACUGACCUUCUAAUAUCGGGUGAUUUCCAUGGUUCUCUCAGGUAAUACUUGUUGGAGUGAGUAUUUAUGCUAGAUUUUUCUUGAAAUCUUGUUCAAGUUCUGUACAUGAAUCUGAUGCAUAUGAUAUAUACAUGAAUCCUCAGUAUGAAUAUAAUUUACAAAUUCCCAGAUAAUUCAGAGUUAAAUUAUACUAGUUCAGUGAAUAUGUUAUCUAGUGAAUAUGUUAUCUUGUAAUUAUUUAUAUUGUAUCAACCUAUUUCUGAAUGAAAUUAUUAAUAUCAAAGAUUUUAGAGAACAAGCACUACUUAGAAUAUAGGGUUAAAAGUGAGCGGAUAAAAGUGACCGUCACUAAAUAUGACCAAGCGCAGUCAUUUUAAUGUCAACUUACUAAACUGUAACACCAAAAACAAAGUCUAUUGAAUGCAGUCACAAAGUUCUGGACACUAACGACCGAAUAUAGUCACUUUUCGAAGUAACUGAUAUCCGUGACAUUUACCUACUAAUGUUGCCACUAAUCAUGGUCACUCAUAAAAAAUACUAAACAUACUCGCAUUUUCUUAUUCGUACUAAGUGAGAAUUUUCCGCCAUAUAUAAUUUAAGAUAUUAGAAAAUAAAAACGGCCACAAUCGGUCACAUUUACAAACGCGAACGAAGUUAGUUUCUUCUCUUUGCAUAAUCUUAUUUUAAACACUACCCACAUUCACUUAUAAAAUGUAAUUAUGGUUUAAUAAACUAAACUUUUUGCUUUCAAUACAGUUGUUAAAUUAUUGCUAUCUUAUAUAUAUUAUGUAAUUGGACCAUCUGCCAUACAUGUUGUAUUCCUGAUCAUUGCAUAUUCUUACUUUUUCGAAUUAUGUUUUUUUGCAGUUUUCAUAUCCAUGAAGAGACGACACAGACGCCUGUAUCUCUGCGGACACUUGAGGGAGCUUCAUUUAUUUUACCAUUACCUAUAGGAUGCAUAAAGAAGCUCGGAAAUACUGGCCAACACAAGUUCUUGUAUCCUUUAUGUGUGUGCAAGGACGUAAAUAUAUUUUUUGAUGAUUGUCAAUUCUAUUAAAGUUAAUAUUAAAUCACACGCCUCUACUAAGCCUGAAACCAUGACUGUUGUUGCCAAGAGAAGAAUUAAUAUAUAAGGAUACUUUGAGAAAAUGUUAAUUUUUUUGGGUUUCAUGCCAAAAUUGAAAAGAAAAAACAUCAUGCAUAUUUUCUGCAUUAUGUAAUUAAUUUGAUGUUACUGUUAGUUGAGUUUCAUGUAGACAAUCACUUGGGAUGGGGAGUUGAAUUAUUAUUAUGCAUAUGGGUGAAGAUUGGCAAUCACUUGGGAUUAAUACAGAAACAUUUUUCAGAUGUAAUAUUUGUACUAAUAAUCACUGUCGGUUCACAUGGAGAGGUCAUGUGUAAUUGUCAAAUGAUAAGAAUUAGGCAAUGAUUCAAUCCUUGACAGUAGGAAAUUAACAGGAUAACUUCCGGUGGAUCUGUUUAUGUGCUUAGCCUCAGCGACCCGUUAGUGCUCCAUUCACCAAAUCCAGUUGGAAUUAAUUUGGGAGAGAUAGCCUCAUGUACGAGUUAUAUCUGGACUGCAGAUUGUAACUUUAAUGGAAGUCGAGCAUUAAUUGGCAAGUUCAUAGCUUCUUAAACUCAUUUUUAUAUAUACAGAUAAAGAUAUGUAGUAUUGUUCCUCCUAAUUCUUUUUCCCAAAUUAAACCUUACCUUUUUGGUGGUGUAGGCACCAACGGCGGAGUGGCAUUAGUGCAUAUUGAAACUGGAUCAGUGUCAUGGGCUUGUCAUUUCAAGAGCGAUGUUAAUUCAGUACAACUGGAUAACUCGGUAACAACCUGCAAAAUCUUAUUUUCCAGGCAGCUCUAUAUUAUAUUGGACUCGAAGUUGGACAAGUUAAACAUAAUUAUGAAAGUGAUGAUUUAUCUAUCUUUUAUACAUGGAUUUUGAUUUCCCUUUGCUGUGCAUUAUAUGAUUUGCUAAUAUAUAUAUCUCUUAUGAGAAUGCUUUAUAAAUAUUUGAGAAUCUUUUACGAGCAAGCAACAAUGACAUCAAAGUACAGAUAUUGCAAUAGAUUAAGCACUCACCAAUAAAAAAAACACACAAACACAAACCUUUGCUUUCUUGUUAGGUUAGCAUCACAGCAGUUCUAUGAUAAUUAGGAAAUAUUAAUAUUAUAACAUAUUAAUAAGUAAUAACAGUUACUUUCUUUCAAAUUUGAUUUUCUGAGUACUGAAUUUGUUUUUUUAUAGGAGAAUAUUGGAUUAUGCGGACUGGUAGACGGAACAAUUUUGUCUGUUGAUAUUCGGCAGAGGCCAGAAAGCAAUGCUCUGCUGCUGCCUGCACACAGUAUUCUCUUGGAUUAUGGCAAUAGUCAAUUAGAUAGUAAGAAACGAUGGUUUAAGGUAUGCUUCCCACUUUAACACGCAUGUAAAUUCACAUGAUGGUUUAAGGAAUUAAAAUUUACAUUUUCUAACUCAUGUAAUUUUUAUUUGUCUAUUUUUAUAUAACAUUUGGUUGAACGUGACAUUAUGAAGCUUCAUGGGAAUAUAUAUUCAAAUGGCACAAUAUCAACAUCUUCGUCUAUUACAUGGUAUGUUGAUGUUUUGCCGCUUAUUUCAUUUGCAUAUGCAACCACAUAUGGUGCAUUCACAUUUCCUAUUACCCAUAUAUACUAAUUACAACCCAUGGAUUUGGUUUAAAUUGUAGCUUGACAUCACUUAAGCAGCAUAACGAGUACUAUUUUUUGGCGAGCUCAUUGGAUGGAUGUGUAAGUUCUUUUCCAAAUUCGUUAUAGGGUUCUACUUAUUUAGUGCCGUCACACACAAAAAGUGUAGAUCCAAAAUUUGUAAAUAUCUAAUAGCUUAGCUCUGGAAAAGUCUACUACCAAAAGAUGUGGAUUCCGAGCCACCAACAAGGAAACUAAUUCCUGCAAGAACGCUUAUAGAAUUUUUAAGGUAGAGGUUUUCCUAUAGAGAAAACCUAAACUUGAUAUCUAAGGCUCUCUAACCCUAUAAGAACAAACAAUAUCCUACAACUAUAACUAUGUCUCUGGCUUGAUUUUCAACCCUUGAGAUGCGUAGUCAUCUUGUAAACAGUGAGGCCUAGUCCCCACAAACAAGAGCAGUCAUUAUAGCACGCACACUACUCAAAACCUUAACAACUAAUUGAUCAUCCUAAUUUUUAUUCCACAACAAUAUGAUUCAAUUUAAGUGCCACACCUCUGUGUGGAAAUGAAAUAUUCUAUAUAUAUAUGUACAUAGUUGUAAACAAGCUAAAGAUAUGAUCACUUAUCCUCCUCACCCCAAAAAAAAUAAACUAUUACAAAUGAAAUUAUUUGCCUGUAGUAACUUCUUAUGUCCAAAAUAUAUUGCUAUUGCAUUUGAUAUCUUGGGUGGAAAAUGCUUGCUUUGUACCUUGUCACAGUAGUCAUUACAUGUUUACUUAAUGCAGAUCAAGCUUUAUGACCAUAGAAUGGUUAAUAGAGGGGCUGUACUCUCAUAUGAAGGGAAUGCAAGAUUACAUACUAGAAUUCAGCAUGUAGUGGACCCAUCAGAGAAAUUUAUCAUGACAGGUCACAGUUUGAAGCGCUCCUUUCUUAUUACAUAAAUUUAGCCAUUAAAACAAUAGCUUACUUAUAUAUAAAUGAAAAUAGGUGGAAUAGACAAGAAGGUGCGGCUCUGGAGCAUCAAGUCCGGAGAACUACUAUUUGAGAAGUUGUUUAUGGAUUUUACACCCUCACAAUUCUGCUGGGGAAAAUCCAAAGGUAUAGCUCACUUAGAACAUACAAUCACUUUAACUUCCUAACUAUCAUGGAUAUCUCUUGAGGCACAAUUAUUAUUUCUAAAAUUCAUGCCCAGUUGGACAUGUAGUUAUCACUUGCAUAUUAUUAGGUUAAAUUUGAAAUAAUUUCAAAUAUUUAAUGACAUUAAUGAGUUCAACUCUAUAAUGAUAACUUUCUAGUGGAGACUAUAUAUGUGCUCCCAGCAAUACAGUGUAAAUAUAUUAUUAUGCAAUAUGUUCUGCUUGAAGUAGGUAUAGACUCUGAACUCUUUGAUUCAAUAAUAGCCAUAUAACUUUUUCCUGACAUUAAUUGGCAGACAAUUGCACAAGGAUGGCCAACAUAUAUAAUCAGCAUUCUUACUUUGGAGAAGCAUGGGUUGGUUCACCCAAUGGUCUAUACAGUUUGACAUGGUGAUAAUUUUCGUCAAAAUAGAGAAUCAGAUUGAUCAUCGGCAAUAGGUUAUCGGCAAUAGGUUGUGCAAAAUUAAUUGAAAUAUUUAGUCAUGAUAGAUUGUGGAAGGUUAACUUUCAUACUUUUUAGAAAGUUAAUGAUUGAUAAUGGAGACGUAUAGAAAAGUGUACACUAUAUAUAAUGAACAAGUUUUUAUAGUAGUUGACAAGUGUACUUUAAAUUUAAUUAUUUUAAAAUGACAAUGGAUAGAUGAAAAGAGAAGAAGCAAGAUAAUAAAUAAUAGAGAAAUCUAGCUUCCUGAGCUUAUACCGAGAAUAAGCACUCUCGCUUUCUCACUCACGCAUAUAGUUUUCAAAAAAUAAGAAGCUAGCUCUUUUUAUCUACUCAAAUAGUUUCCGAAAAGAAGAAGUUGGCUUUUUGUCAAAAGAAGCCACAUGGUGCUCAAACACCCCCUCUAUAUGUCCAACAUCUAAUAAUACUACAAAAAAGAUCAUAACUUACAUUUAAUGACAUUUAAGAGUUGAAAACGAUAAAACAAUAACGAGACAAACACAUUCGGUCAUUUAAAACUUAAAAGUGACUAAAUUAUUUCUUUUGACAAAAAGAGACUAAAUUAUUUUAAGUUAUCCCUCAACUUUUUGGUUAGGUGGAUACUAGUUUGACCAUCCGAGGCCAAGCUAGCAAUCCAUGUCAUCCAUAUUUAACAACAUUUAAGUCAGACUUUUGAUAUAAAUUCCAUUCACAACCAAUGGUCCAAAUUAUUUGGUCACCUCUAUAUUUAGACCAUAAAUCAUCUUAGUCCACUUUGACCAAACAUCUGGAUAGUUUGACCAUAUUAUAAUUAUAACAAGAUUUUUAAAACAUUUAAAUUUAUUAUCAUAUUCUAAUAAAAUUAAUCAAUUAUAAAUUUUAUAGAUAGAGUUUAUGAAAAUUUUCGAUUAGUUUCAAUUUUCAAAAUAAUAAACAAUAAAAUGGACGAAAUCAUGUUUCCUACUGAUUAUGCCAACGACGUGCAAUUUUGAUGAUGUCGGGGUAGGGGUGUUCCAGAUGUCUGUCCAUGCUCUCCCAUAUAUAUAUAUAUAUAUAUGUGUGUGUGUGUGUGGGGGGGGGGGGGAACAAUAGCAGUCACUCCAAUAAACAGGGCCAUUUACGAUGGAUAACUUGCGACAGAUCACCUUUGCGCGUAGUCACUACAACAAGCAGAGCCAUUUACUACGGAUAACUUGCAUCAGAUCACCUAUGCGUCUGAACUUACGACGGAUUGUUUUAUUUUAAUAGGACUUACUAUUGUUGUAUACCUAUAUUCAUGCGCUCUAGUUAAACAUUGGUAAUGGACCUUGAUUAAAUUAAUCUUAAAUUUUGAUCAAGCAGGUGUUAAUGGCCACGACAGAGACGGAAUUUUUCUGGUCGUAAAUUAGAAACUUACGACGAAUUUAAAGCUCAAUUUCCAUCGUAAAUACCCGAUUAUGUUAUAGUGAUCAAUUAGUAUACUCUUUAAGAGUCUUUGUUUGUGUAGCACAGUCAACAAGAAGAUGUUGUGUUUUGCUAGCAGACAAUCCUCUCACUUUGUGAAUGCUAUUUAUGAAUACUUUUUUGGUACUUGGACUAGUACAUGUAUGAUGGUAGUGUAUUAUAGUGGUUUUGAAUACCUUGUGAUGAAAUAUUGAUUCCUUACCCAUUACUUUCUUGUAAAUUCUAACAUGCAUCUAAUAUCAAAAAGAUAACAAAGAAAUUUUUAGUUUGGUUUAAAACCGAAACCAUAAAUAAAAACGGAAAUCACACCAACGGUGUAUGGUUUGAUUUUGGUUUUUGAUUUUUGAAACCGAAUAAAUUUGGUUAUGAUUUGGUUUCUGGUCGAAAUCGAACCAAACCACGCUCAUCCAUACCAACAACAUCUUGCUUAUAUGAUUCUUAAAAUAAAAGCAUAGUAAAAUUUAUAAAUUGGAAAUAAUUAUUUUGACAUGCCAUAAAAUUUCAUUUUACAAUCAUAAGAGAUUAAUAUAUCGAUUAUAAACACAGAAAUAUAUAAUAGUUAGUGAAUCUAGUGGUCAUAGUUUGAGGACCAAACCCCAUCCAAACCCGUAUACAUUAGGCCCAAUUCACAUAUAUAGACGACCCAAUGAAUGAACAAUAUAUAUCGGGUAUUAUAAUAUUAUAUAGUCAAAAUCCCUAGCCACAACUAGUCCUCCGCACAAUCCUCCAUGUUCUUGUCAAAAGUUCUAGCCACCACAAGCCCUGCGCACCAUCUUCGUUGUUCUUUAGUUUCAUUUUGCACAAAACAUUAUUUACUAUAGUCAUCUCAUUGAUAUAUAUAUCUCUAUGUCUACUCACCUCCUGAUUUUGAUCAUUGUGUUCGUGUGUGACAUGGGUUCUAUCAUGAUUAAACUCGCUAAAUAUUUAUUGGUACGUUAUAUCUCGAAUUUUGUCUAUUUUGAUAAUCAUGUAUUCAUUCAUUUCAUUUCAUAUAUGGAUAAUUGUGAAUAGAUUAUCCAAUUUUAUUGUUUUGAUGAAAAUUGUAAGACAGUAUAAUGAUUGUUAUUCAUUUGUUUUGAUUUAUUAGAUCUACCGAUUUCUUUUAAUGAAUAUGUUUUGAAAUUGUAGAAGUUUUUUGGAUCGGAGAAUAGAUUAGGAGUGCUCUUAGUUAGUAGAUUUGGUAGUAUGGAUACAACUUAAUUGAUGGAAUAUGCUUAAGUCGUAAUUAGGUUAAUGUUCAAUAUUGUUAAAAUUUUAUUUAGCAUCAUUAAUAUUUUGUUAGUAAAAAUAAUAUAUUAUAGAAAAUAUGAAUUAGGUCUAAGUCAUCACGGUCAAAAGUCAAAUUUUUAUUGAAAGUGUCUACUUUCUCUAGAUAAAUAAUUACAUAUAUAAAGAGAGAAGAAGAAAAUUUAAAUUUAAUCUAAUAGAUAAGAUAAAAUUUAAAUAUAUUUUAGUAAAAUAUUAGUAGGAGAGUAUGAAUUGUUCAAUACAUAUUAUAUUAUAUAUGUUUCCAUAAUCUUUUAGACAAAGCCCGCUUUCACACUAGCGCUCUAAAAACCCUAAAAUUGCAAGAUCUUCUGGACUAAACCCCUCUCCCGCUCGCCAUUUAAAAUACCCUAAAAAUUAUAGCAGCCUCUAAUUUUCUCCAUUUUCCCAAGAAUACCACAAGGUCUCUCACAAACUCAAAUUUUCUCAUUCCAAUCUUUGUGUCGGGAUUUAUAUCAUGGAGCCCACAAGAAUCACAGUAUCUUCCUCUGGUUUAAUUGAGCCUAAACACAUAAAUUUCAUUCAUUUUUUUUGAAAUUAUUGUUCAAAAUUACUUAUUGAUUGUAAAUUAUAUGUAAGAAUAAUGAAUCUUAGCUUUUGCCCAUAUUGAAUUUAAGAAUUGUGGAUUGGUUUGUGAGUCUCUAGCUAAAUGUUGGUCUCCACCCAUUCAAGACUUUUAUUUGAAUGUGUGGUAACUGGUAAGGUUGGAAAAGUUUUGGAAGUAGUACGUGCUUUGCUGUUGUGAUUGUAUUACAGUAUAUCUUUUACUUUGUAAAUUAUUUUUGUAUCCAUUGCAUGUUUCUUUAGCAAUUGAGUAUGUAUUUAGGUUGGGAGUAUAUGCACCUUCUUCCUCCUACCUCUUAAAGCAAAUUUGUAUUCUCUACAUACCUUACAGGGAAACUCAUAUCAAGGAUCAGAACUAGCAACGGUGAAGAUGCUCCAGACAAGGGAGUUAUGUGGUAAUGUGACCACUUCUGCUAAAGGAAAAUGCAACUUCAAGGAUGAGUGCACAAAACACCUAUGGUAUGCACUCUUAAUCACAUUCACUUAUUAAUUUUCUUAUUUAUAUACUUAAAAAUAUUAAUACCCCAGACUGGACCUGGCUUCUGUUUUCCCAAAAAAAAAAAAAGAUGUCCUUAUUUGUGGAUGCAUUUAUAGGACACUUCUUUUCAAAUGCUAGGUUCGUCAUGAUGUAUUUCUAUAGUUCCCUCCUACAUCUUUAUAUAACCAAACUAUUAAUUUUGACCACUCUCCGUUUAAUUGACCAUUAAAGUUAACAGAUGUGAGGUUUACACUUUGCACCCCACAGUUUUAAUUUUUUUUUCAUGAUAUGCUAGAAAUAUGUUAGAAAUUGUUUCGCGGUAUUAUAUGCUAGAAAUUGUUUCGCAAGCAUUAGUAAGUAAUGCUUGCUAAUAAUCUCAUACUAUAUCUUGUUGCUUACUUGAACUUCUUUCUCUUAAAGUAUCAGAGGUUGCAUCAUUGACAAGGAUUUUUGACGAGGCAAGCACAUUACCAAAUAGAGCCCGAACCUCGUUACAAUGGACUCUGUUUAAUUGGAUGAUAAGAGCGCAAGACAAUAUUUGGACAGAAGACUGCAGGAAAACGAUGUAUAAGGGGCCAUCGAAUUUGCUAUUAAGGAGCAAAAUAGGUUUCCAAACCUCAACAGACUUUUAAGGUUUCUAGGUAACAUUACUGUGCAAGUCUCCCCUGCAGAUGAGGAAGUUGACUGGUAUAGUGUCCUUGGCGUUGAUAGUUCAGCAGAUAUAAAGACAAUGAAGCAGCAGUACGUGAAACUGGCUAAAGAUAACAAGCUGAUCAGGUCGCAGGAAGUACAUAAGCUUUUUAAUAAAGCAUGGGAUACCUUGUCAAACAAAUUCACCAGAAGAGACUACGAUAUGAGGAGAAUAUAGAGAAAAAUCCAACAGGAUGCCUUUGUUGUGAAGCAGGCAAGCUCAUCUACACAGCUACUUCAGCCAGCACCUGUUCUCCAUGAUUUUUCUGAAAAUAAAAGUAGUGGUCUAAAGCAAGUUUCUUCAGCACAAGCAGUUGAGAUGGCACCUGGUCUAUACAAUGUCCCCGAAAAUGAUGGAAUACACUUGACAUCAAUUCCUGCAGUUACUAAUUCAACACAACCGACACCUGAUGUCUACAAUGUAUCAGGAAAUAAAGAACCUGGCCCGAGCUCAGUUAGCACAGAUACAGCAUUAAUUCAGCCAGCUUUAGGUAUGUGCAGUAUAUCGGGAAAAAAGAGAAGUGGCUUAACCAUGCAUGAUUCCCUCUGAUACACACUUGAUUCUGCCACAGCAAGGUCAGUCCAAUACACCGGGAAAUGGAGGAAGUGGCCCAAACUUAGUUCCCUGUGCUGCACAAUCAAUUCAUCGAAGGCCUGGCAUGUACAAUGUAUCUGGAAAUGAAGGAAUUGGCCCCAGGUUGGUUUUCUCAUCUGAAGAACCAUUUCAGCCAGGGUCUGGUAUGGUCAAUGUUGCAGGAAAUAGCAGAAGUGGUCCAGGGUCAAUUUCUUCAUUUCUGUUUUGCAAGCAUUAGUAAGUAAUGCUUGAUAAUAAUUGAGUUAAUUACACUUUGUAACCCCCUAAAUUUGCUCCAAACGCGAACUUUAAAACGUGGCAAUAUACACUCUACACUUAACAUUUCCGUACAAGUUGCAACCCCUAGUCACUAUUCCGUCCAAAUCUGCCGUUAACUUUAAUUGUUUGAGAGGUAACAUUGUGUAUAUUAGUUUCCAACAGCUACUUUACAUCUGUGACCCCUCAAAGUUUAUGUAUUAUAUUUUUGAAAUUAUUUCUGAACACACACAACGAUGUAAUAAAAUUCAAAAUAUUUUUUAAAAUAUGUAAUAAGAUUUUCUUUUAAAGUAAAGUAGGUAAGUUUUAAAUAAAUUCAAGUUUUAAAAUUUAAAAUUUAAAAGUAAAGUAGGUAAGUUUUCUCAUAAUCAAGUAAGUCAAAAAAAUAGAAGAUGGGGAAUUUCAAAGUUUAACAAAGGGCUUCACUAAGUCCCACACGGAUGAGAUGUAAGAGAUGUAUCAUCUCAUUCUCUAUAUAACAAGGCUAUGAAGCCAACACUUAUAAACAAACCAACUAAGACAAGUUGCUUGGUUUUGGACUAUUUAUUUGUCUCACAUCGAGGAGAUUUUGAAUAUAUCUCCUUCUCAAGUCUAUAUAGGUUCAUUUGUUAAUUGGAAAGUCAAAAGGUAGCCUAAUUUAUUAACUAAAAAGGUUAUAGAUUCUAAAUAUGCUAGUAUGAAGGCCAACAAUUUACUCUCAUAAAACUAGAAUUAAGAUAGAAACAAUCAUUUAAGUUCCACAUUGAAGAAUUGUAAGAGGUUCAUCUCACUUUCCUAUAAAAAAAACUCAAAACUUGUAUACCAUUUGAUUGAUAAUGAGGUAAAGUCUAUAAAAGACUCAAAACUUGUAUGCCAUUUGAUUGAUGAGGUAAAGUUGUCCCACAUCAAAAAGAUGUGAGUAUAAGACUCAACUUUAUUAAUAUUGGCUCAAUAAACAUUGGGCCGGAUAUAGUUUAAAAUUUAAAAGUAACAAUAAAGCAUUGUGAUCAUUUAUGAAUUGAAAAAUAAUUGUUUCAUGACAUAAUAUUUUGUUGUGCAACCAUAAGAGAUUAAUAUAUCCAUUAUAAAAGUACUAAUUCAUAAAAGUUGGUGAUAUAGGCUAUAUAUAUAUUAUGUUCGGCCCAAUGAAUGAGCAAUAUAUACUCGGUAUCAUCAUAUAUUAUCUUGUCAAUUAUCAUAUAUCGUCUUGUCAAAAUCCCUAGCCACAACUGCCGAUCCCCAAAUUUUCAUUGUUCAUAUCAAAAUCCCUAGCCACAGCUGCCGAUCCGCAAAUUCUCAUUGUUCUUGUCAAAAAUUCUAGCCACGACUAUCCCUCGGCAAAGUCCUCGUUCUUCAGUUUCAUUUUUGAGGAUAGUCAUUUCAUUGAUAUAUGUCUCUAUGUCUACUGACCUCCCACUUAUGAUUUUGGUCAUUGUGUUCAUGUGUGACAUGGAUUCUAUCAUGAUUGAACUCGCUAAAUAUUUAUUGGUACGUGAUAUCUUGAAUUUAAGUAUAUAUGUUUUGAUGAUCAUCUAUUCAUUAAUUUCAUUUCAUAUGUGAAUAAUUAUGCAUAGACAUUCAAAUUCAAGGUUUUCGAUGAAAAUUGUAUAGCAAUGAAAUGAUUGUUUUUUUAUUUGUUUUGAUUUAUUGAAUCUACUUAUUUCUUUUAAUGGAUUUGUUUUGAAAUUAUAAAAGUUGUUUUAGAAUAAACUAGGAGAGCUCUUAGUUAGUAGAAUUUGCUAGCCUAUACUUAAUUGCUGAAAUAUGCUUUAGUCCAAUUUAAGUUUUACUUUUCUCAGUCCACUAAAAAGUGUUGUUUUUGUUGGAUAAUUAGUAGUUCACUUUGUUUAUUGCUUUUACUUUGUCUAGAUGGAGUUAGGUACCAUAUCAGAUGGUUCAUGGAAAGCUUUUCGGUAGAUGGAGAUUGCCUGCAGCCCAUGCUACUGAAUUCAACUUCUAUAAACACUGAUAUGUACUUUAUAGAAGGAAUGAAUUACAACCUGUUGGUCAUCUUUGUAUCCUUCUCUAACAUUUUUUGAUGAAACUUUAUGAUUUAUUCGUAGCCUGAGAUUGUUUGAUUUUGCUUAACCAUCUGACAUAUUAGAUCUCUUUCCUUCAAGCUCUUCUAUUGCUUCAGCAAAUGAACCAUAUAUAGCAGCACACAAUUUGUAAGGGUUUCUUCUUGAUAGCUACUAGCAGUUUUGUUGUUCUGGAACACUUAUACUUUAUUGAAUUUUAUGAAAAGCAUGUACCAACUGUUGGGUUUGCAUCAUACUUACAGGCAGUUGGUAGAGUAUCAAUUUUGGCAAUUGGGCCAUGGAUGCUUUACAUCUGGUAGUAGGAAUCGCAGCCGGUAAUUCAAAAUGAUAGUUAUUCUAUCACUUUGGCUUUGUUCAAAUUUUUAUUUUUCUUUUUAACUAUUUCCCGUUGCUUACUUGUGCUCUCCAUCACUGUAACUUCUGCAUCUGCAGAUCCCUUAUUCAGUGCAUUUGCUACUGCUGCAUUUUUGAAGUUCAGGCCUCAUGUCUUGGUAUCCUGUGUUGUUGUGCUUGCAAUAUAAACUGAGGUAGUGUUUGUCUUGAUUUUAUACGGAUGAAGAAUUUGACCAAGAGUUUGUACACAUACUUCGUCGACAGAGCUGCAUAGUGUUUUCCAGAGGAAGUUCUGAUUUUAUACAGAUGAAGAAUUUGACCAAGAGUUUGUACACAUACUUCGUCGACAGAGCUGCAUAGUGUUUUCCAGAGGAAGUUCUGAUUUUAUACAGAUGAAGAAUUUGACCAAGAGUUUGUACACAUACUUUGUCGCAUAGUGUUUUUCAGAGGAAGUUCGAGAUAUCGAGGAGUUACUCUAAAAAAUUGCUAUAUGUUAUUAUCUUUCUAGUUCUUGUACGCUUUUAGUUAUUUGCAAAACUUGUAGGCUUUAAGUUAUUUGCAAGACCUGUAUGCAUUAAAUAAUUUUUGUAGCUCAUGAAUUUUGAUGGUGCUUGUGAUUUUAAGACUGAUUGAUUGUAAUAUAUAAAUUUGAUGGGAAAUGCAAUAUUUAAAAGGUUUUUUUAAAAAAAAAAUUAUUUGUGGGGCUCACCUUUUAGAAAUACAUCUUUUGCAACACACCACUAUGUUAGUAUGUUACUAUAGGAUCUCAAAGAUGUUACAUUAUUCUAUAACAACACAACUAGAUAUGAUAGAUUAGACUAAUUUUGGUGUUGCUAUAAGUACUUAUACUUACUGCUCAGGACCCAACAUGGGUUUGGUGUUACUAUAGCCUUUUUUUGACCUAUAGCAACAUCAGAUGCGGUCUUUUCAGACACAUGUUUGGUGUUGCUAUAUACCAUCUAUGGCGUAGUGCAGGCAUUCAUGUUAAGAAAUGUGCUUAAUUGCCGAAUGUUAAUUACAAAGGGGUAGGACCUGUUUGUAUAACAAUGAGAUGAAAAAAAUUGGAUCUUUUAAUCUUGUACAUAUUUUUUAAAUUUAGUCCCAGCUGUGUAUCAAUUCUUUAUGGUUCAAAACCAAGUGUAAUGUUUUACUAUUCUGCCAGAAAUGUAGCAAGAAACUGAUUAGCAUUAGGCAUGAAGAGGUUCAUAUUUCCUCAUCAGUUUGAUCCUCAAUAUUUUGGGGAGAGCUUAUUAUUAUUAUGUAGUGUCCGAAUCCAAAUUAGGUGCCAACCUAAAGUUGCAGGUCAUCAGGUACGCUUAUACAUGCCCGACCAGGCCAGCCUGAGAAAAGAAGAUCUGUCAAGAUUCAUACAUUUAACAUGAUGCAGAGAUGGAGAUUUUAUUCACAGAGAACAAAUAUCAUUCGAUUUGGUACCUUUUGGAAUGGGAGAUUAUUUAGCAGUGAAUCGAUUAGAAUUGUAGCGAAAUGGAUGAACAGAGCCAUAGAGAACCGUUCCUGCAAGUAGAUAAUCCAAUUUUUUUUGGUUAAUGGAAUUACAGAAACCCAACAUAUUCUUGCCACAACUAACUUUAUCGGUUCGGAUUCAAUUACUAACACAAUUUUUUGUUUUUUUCCGAUUAUUAACAAAAUACAGAACGUGAUAUAAAAGAUUACAAGAAAACACGAGUUCUGAACAUUAAAAAAAAUAAAUAGGACUCAAUUCAAUACCGGGACAUUGCUGUCAAAGAUUCUCUAUUACGCUAAAAUACCUCUUAAGUUUUUUCAGAAACAACAUUCACUAUCAACACUGAUUUGCAAGAGUAGAAGAGCUUUGGCAGGAGUUGCUCUCCUGAUCUUCUUUACAGUAAAGCAGAUUCCAGAGAACUCAGUUCAGUUACCGUGAAUAUGGACCCCAUUAUUAGCUAAUAUUCCAGCAAUGAUGAUGUUUCUCAGACAAACUUUAGCCAUUUGGUCCACAUUAUUAUGUACUCAAGCAUAUAUAUAAGUUGAUUAUGUACGCAUCUAGCUACGUGAGGCGAGUGUUGGAAUCUUGUCAAAUAUAAGAUGCUUAAUUAUCGAUAAAUAAAAAUAAAUAAUAUGCAUAUCUUCAUCUCUCAAUAUGUGUGGUUUCAAAAAAAAGCUCUAUCUGCAGAUAAACACAACAUGUGGUUAUAGUACAAAUGAGGGAUCCAUUCUGAAUCCAGAACAUAAUUAAUAUUUGAAAAAGAUGAAAUGUAACAUCAAUCGAUACACUAAAUAUUCGAUCUCAUAGCAUCCAACUGCUCUAUGUUAAUGUGAUUCGGGGAGUAAAAGCCUACAAUUAGAAGUUUAUUAUAGAACUUCUUAUUGUACAUGAUAGAGAAGCAGAAAACUAAGAAAUAUACAUGCAUUUUAAUAUAUGUAUUUUCUAUCGAGAUUUAAUAUAUGUAAGAUAGAACUCAUGAUGAGUUUCUAAACUACCUAUUUGAAAUAGGAUUUGGACCACUAGGAACUUCAUGAGCACUGGCAUUGACAGCUCGGUCUCGCCACAUUGAUCCUUGACGGGAUUGAGAUGAUCUACAAGCCUUUCUAUGCUGAAGCCUUGCCGGAAUAUCUUGUUGCUUAGUAGGUUCUUGUUUGUUGAUACCAGUGACUGCGGAGUUGUUUGUACAGAGAGUUGUUAAGUUUUGAAAGUUUGAUUUGCUUGCAGCAUUGAAAGUAUCUGAUGCAAGGGGUUUUGAGGUGUUUUCUUGAUGAGGCAUGACUGGCACAAAGAAAAAGAAGAUGAUUAAGAAGAGGAUCAUAUUGUUGUGAUUAAGCAGAAGUGCCAUUCUCCCUAGCCAUGCAUACAACUUAGAGAAUCAUGAUAAACCCUCAUUAGUAGCAAUGCUAUAAAUAAUGUGUGUGUCAGUGGGGGGCUUAAAUACAAAUUUCAAACUUUACUGUUUGUAUUUGUCAAGUGGUGGGUAAGGAGCAGGAAGAACUUAAAAUGCUAUAGAAAACAUACAUGUAUGACAAGAGAAGAGAGAGUGUGUGAGUGUCCUGAAUCUCAUGUUUUCUUGUCUGUUUUUUGAAGGUUAGUUCAAGUGAACUGAUAUAUUGAACUACCAUAGGUAACAUAUUCGGUUUUCCCUUCCCUAUGUGUACGAUAGGUCACAUGUUCAAUUUUUUAUUCCUCUUAUGUACGAUAGGUCACAUGUUCGUUCCCCUUCCCCAUCAGUAAUUUAUACUAUCCAUGUGGCUCGUUCCAAUUAAAAAAACAAAGUUUGUCAAGGGCAACAGCGAUGCAUAUCGCUAUCAUCUUGCGCACGGAAGGAAAAGCACAAUUUGGACCUAAAUUUAACACAAUUCAGAGACCUUAGAAAAGAAAUUGACAGUUCUCAGAGGAUGAGACAUACAGAUGAAGCCAAUGAAGUUGAAUUCAGUGGCAUGCAAAUUUCUAGAAAUGAAGAUUAAAUGACAGACACAUGCAUGUUAAGCUGACAAAAGAAAGAGAGGCCAGGGACACUUGGAGGGACAAUUUUAUACAUAUAACUUGGCAACUAGGAUAAUGCACAAAGGUAUGUUACAAAAAUAAUAAAUGAGGUGUUAUUAAGUCAACUAAUCAGCAUUUUGGGGACCCUUGAUCUAUAAUCUUAUUAAAGGCCUGCUCUCAGCCACAAUACAUUCACAUAGGCUAGAUUUCUCUUUCACUGAGUUGAGGAAGUACUCGGCUUGCUAGCAAAGCCUGCAACAUUAUUUGAAAGCUCUGGUCCCCAACGUACCCAGAAAUUUGUUAAUCUAAGUUCUGGAUGUUGCAAUUAAUGUUAAAUUCUGUUAUAGAGUCUCUGAGAAAUCUGUAUCUUUGCCUAGCUCGCCCUUGUGAACAGCAGUCAGCACUCAGCAGGACCAUAACCAGUUGUUUUAUUUAUUCAGACCUCGUGACCUGUUUGUCUACUAAGAUGGUCACACGGUUAUACGAAUGAAAAGCUCUCUUAGAGAACAUAAAAGUGUUUGUAAUAUAUUUGUUUUACUUUUAUAUUUUUCUUUCUUAGUGAAAAAAGCCAUAAUUGUAGCCUGUCUAGGAACCUGCAGCUCUAUAACCUACAGUAAAUCGGACUAACCGAGUGAUGGAUAACCCAGUGAGUGGGAACUCCCUCCCAUACGUAUGGUUUGGGAUUCGAUCCAUCUUUGGUGAAAUCUUCCCACUAUCUCUUAAAUUCUCACCAGCUCGAGUGAGCGCUCGAUAGCGAAUGAGGUCCGAUUCUUUCAGCUGGUAGACAAUCUUCUGUCUGCGAAAAGGUUGACAGAUAUCUUUCUGGGCAAAAAUCAGUAUACAAUUCCAUUAGCACUUUUUCCCUAAAUUAUUCAGGCAUUCCAACUUUGCAGAAAAGGAAAAAUAAAAAACACUUGGAAACAAAUCAUUCUCUACAUAUGCAAACCACAAUUUAACUCGACAAUUAAAAGUUCCAUUAGCUCAACAAUUUUAACUCACUGGAUGCAUGAGUUCAACUCAACUACAAUUUCUAGGCACUCUAGAAAAUAUGCUCUGGCUGAUACCGACAAACUGCAGAGGAAAAUAUGUGUUAUAACAUCGAAAAUGAUGUGUGAUUUAUGUUACAACUUUGACAAUAGAAUAUCUAUUAUUAAUUUAAUCCAUUCAUCAUAAGAAACUCUAGUAAUAUUUCAGCAUCAUGAUACAUUAACUUUCAAAGCAGAAAAUUACAACUGAAUGCCCAGAAGCAGAAGAAUAACACACAUUGCUCAAGCAUCCACAAUAAGCCUAGCAGAAACAACAAUCAAUCUUGGGAAGUGAAUGCCAAUCACCAAGAUGUCAACUUAUUUAUUCCAUGCUAAUUACUACCAGAGUCCACAAUGCUAAUCAUCGUCUUCAUCUGCAAUUUUAAGUUCCACAUUUAACAAAAAACAUAAGAUUAAUAUGCAAAUACUAAAUACUUAUCCAAUUACAAAAUAACUAUAGCUGAACAAGUACUUCUGGAGGAAAAGACGACUGGAAUAAUAAAAGCAUCAAGUUAUUUAUAUGUCAAAAGCACCGGCAUGUAAAAAUUUGACAGCUGCCACUAAUGUAAAAUGCAGUCGCCAAUUCCUGGUGUGAAUAUUACUAUUAUGUGUUGUGUGUCUAGUUAUUGUAAAAAAUGCAAGGAUGAACUUGUUAAUUAUCUGACCAAUGUAAACGCCUAUUUAUAUCCAACUUAAAAGACAACGACCAACUAUAGCCUAGUUAUCAAUAUUUGUUAGCAAUAUCUUGCAACUAAGAUUCAUCUUUCCUCUCUUUAUGAACAUUUACCCAAGUACUGAUGUUUAUUUCAAAUUAUCGUUUUCUGUUAUUCGAAUCAAAGAUGAUUUAAUCAUCAUUUCUGUUAAAUGCACUAUAAGAUUCUUCAAGUAGGAGUGUGAAACCACGUCAAGACAAUGUGGAGCUUAUUCUUUAAGAGACUCACAAAACGUCUUCAAACCCGCUAAUCGCAAAGUGCAUUAUAUACUAAAAGUCUAAAACCCAAUGUUCUUGAAAUUUAAUUCUUAAUUACUACCCGAAGGCCAAAGCACACAAGUCCCUCUUACACUACAAAGCCAUACCCUAAAACUUCCGAAACCCAUUCCACUAAUACCAUACUCCCUCAGUCUCAACAAGUUGUUUACGUUCACUGUUAGCACGCACUAUAAAGUAUAAUUCCAUAACGUUUUUCGUUUGGAUAAAAGUUUAAACAUCAAAUUUUUAUUAACAAAAGAAAUUAAAAGAAUAUUUAUGGAACUAUAGUUUAUAGAGACCUUAAAAUACGUGUCAAAAAGAAACAUAAAGAACCCAGGACAGAGGACAAUGCAACAACAUAUCCAAACAUUUCCGAACUACCAACAUUGCAACAUUCAACACAACCCUAUAAUUUCACAACUCAAAACAACACAAUCAGACAUAAAAAUCCAAUCUUUUCAAGAAACAAACAAAACAAAAAUCUUUCGACAGGAAGAAACAUAAAUUACCAAAAUAACGGCGCUCAUUAGCAGCCUUGGCUUUCUCGAGCAUUUUAUCGAGAUCUUCAUCAAGCUUAACUUCCCACUUAACCAACUGAUUCACAGCAACUGACCCAAUUCCCAUCCCCAAAACAUGCUCCCAUGGAUCUUUUUACAUGUACCAACAAACCCAAAUCAGUCAUGUACACAUAUACUUAUAAAAACAUGUAUGCAUUGAUGUAUGUAAAUUCUUGAUCGUGUGUAAAAAUGUGAAACUGAGUGGAGAAAUAAAGGGAGCUUACGGCGCAUUAAGGGGAGUUUGCGGAGGGCGUUUGAGUAGAUUUGGGUGCUGAAGCCGAGAAGAGCUCCGAUCAACGUCGCAGUCGCCGGCAUGUUUUGAGUGGUGGUUGGAGAUUAGCCGGCGAGAUAAAUGUGAAAUUUGGAUGAACGGUGGAAUUUGUUUGAAUUGAUACUGAUAUGAUUAAAAAUGGGGUCCUGUUAACACACAGUUUGUCUAGCGUUGGAUGAAUUAUUGAAGGGUUAGGAUUAAAAAAUAUGCUUAUUUACGCGAAACGUGGGUCUCAGUUUACAGACUCCGCGCUGAAUUUCAGCGGAGUGACACAGGUGACCUAAUGCUAUAUAAACAUAAACAUGUUUAUAAAACAAUACACAAACAUGUUUAUAAAACAAUACACAACUUAUCAGUGAAAAAUAAUUAUAAAUAAAUAAAUUUAAAAAUUUGUACUAAACAAAUAAUUACAAAACAUAAAUUUUAAAAAUAUCAUUCCAAAAAAUUAAAGUUACAUAAAAAAUAAUAAAUUAAAAUAAUAUAUGGUUAAUAUCAAAUAAUUGACAUAUAAAAAAUAGCUAAAUGUCUUAUAAGAAAAAAAUUAAGAUAUAAAUCUCAUUAAAAAAUUGUAAAAAAUAAAAAAUAUAUAUAAUUAAGAAUUAUCCAAAAAAGAUUAAAAAGCUCGGAACGUAGAUAUAAAUCUCAUUAAAAUUAUCUAUUUUUAUGUUUAAGGUGUGAAAUUGUAUUUCAACUCUAUAUCAUAUAAAUUUAUAUUUUUAUAUAAAAUUUAUAUCUAUUGUAAAUUCAUAUUUGAGUGGUAUGAAUCUGAAUAGUUUUAAAGUUGUAUAUUUAUAUAUUUCAGUAUAUUAUAGUUAAAUUUGUCUACGUUCCCAGCUUUUUAAUCUUUUUUGGAUGAUUCUUAAGUAUUUUUUUUCUUUAUUUUUUACAAAUUUUUAAUGAGAUUUAUGUCUUAUGUUUUUCUUAUAAGACAUUUAGCUAUUUUUUAUAUGUCAAUUAUUUGAUAUUAAUCAUGUAUUAUUUUAAUUUAUUAUUUUUUAUGUAACUUUAAUUUUUUGGAAUGAUAUUUUUAAAAUUUAUGUUUUGUAAUUAUUUGUUUAAUACAAAUUUUUAAAUUUGUUUAUUUAUAACUAAUUCUCACUGAUAAGUUGUGUAUUGUUUUAUAAACAUGUUUGUGUAUUAUUUUAUAAACAUGUUUAUGUUUAUCUAUAGCAUUAGGUCACAUGUAUCACUCCGCUGAAAUUUAGCGCGGAGUCUGUAAACUGAGACCUACGUUCCGCGGAAAUUAGUAGCGGAUAGGUGAUUCAUAUUUUUUUUUAAUCCUGACCUUUCAAUAAUUCAUCCAGCGGUGAACAAACUGUGUGCUAUCUAAUUGCCUUUCAACAACCACUUGCCAAGGAACAAGACCCUUAAAAAUGUAUACUAAUUUUAUAAAAUUUGCUGGUUUUCGCCUUUUCGACAAUAAUUACGAACAUAGUUGGCCAUGUGAGCUUUAUCAGUUAUCACCCCAAUCAAUUGCAAUAAAAUAUUCUACUAUCCAAUUUUUCUAAAUUCAAUUAAAUUUAAAUUAAUACAAUAAAUUAACUAUAAUAUAUUUAAUAUAUAUUGGACUAAUAUACCGAUUAUCAUUCUAGUUAAUAAUUAAACGAAUUCAUCGACAAAUCGUGCCUUUGCCCAUUGGUUUUGAUUUUCGUUUUUUACGAAACUAAAUUAUAUUAUAAAAAAUAUUAUUAUUAUUAUUAUCAUGUUAUAUAUUUAUAAACUAUAAUAUAUUAUUUCAUUUUCUUGAAUAAUAUUUAUUAUUUGAAAAUAUUAAUAAAUUUUAAUGAAGCAACAUUCUUUGAUUGGAUACUUUUAAAUAGUUUUUAUUUAUUAUUUGAAUUAAUUUUAAUGGAGAUAUUCUAAAAGAUCCAUCAGAUAAAAAUUAUCUAAACAUUUCAAGUUAAAUUAUAUAUCAAUUUUAGUCGGAUUGGCAUUACAAGAAUCUAAACAAAUUAUGUUUUGUUUAAUUAAAAAUUUAUAAGUUGAUUUAAUUAUAUUUUGGUCCAACAGUCAAACUUUUGAAUUAUAUGUUGAUUGGUGAUUUUCAAAUCAAAAAUAUUAUAUUAAUACAAAUAAUAAUUUAUAAGACUAUACUUUACAGAAAUAUUAGUAUGUAUGUUGAGCCCUUUUUCCCCUGACGUAAAAAAUUGAAAGGAAAAAAAGUAUUAAUUAAAAACUAGUAGUAAUGGUCGGCACUUCAAUAUUUAAAUGAAAAUAUAAAAUAAUAUUUUUUAAAUAUAUUUAUAAUUUAGUUAUUUCGAUCGACUUGAAAGUGAAAAUCGAAUUCAUAUCUAAAAAUUUCGGUUUUUUGAUUAUCAAGAAAGAAACCAAACCAAAUCAUUGAAAAUCAAAAGAAAAAAUUUGAAUAAUUUGAAUUGACCGGGUCUAAUCUGUUUCGGCUAAUUGUGUCCGAAUAUGAAACUUGAUAAAUUGAAUAUGAAUAUUGAAUAUUAAAAUCAGUUUAAAUAAAAUCAAAUUCCAUAUUUGUAUUGUUCAGUGCACAUGUAUAAUAACAUUACUCAAAAAAAUGUAUAAUAACGUAACUAAAUUAUUUUAAUAUAUGCAAUGGUCGGUUUUUUUCAAAAAAAUUUGAAAAAAAGAUACGUUACGAGCCGAAACAGUAAUGUAUUCAUGUACAUCAAAUCCAAUAUAUAAGAUUUGAUAUCCCUGGAUACACCUCGAUAAAGAGUAAUAGGAGUACUACAAAUUUGGUCUAACCAAAAGAUAAAUCUAUAAAUUAAUGUUUCAAUUCACACCAAAAGAUACGGUGCAGAUAUCAAUAUUAAAACAUGAAUCUUGCAAUCUUCUAUCCAAUUUUUUUGUUUCCCAUAUUAAAAAAUCUUCUUAUCCCUGAUCAGCAGCUAUUAGAUUAUAGAUAGAGUCAAAUAGUAGCUAAAAUUUUGAUGUAACAGAGGCCUUGUGAAACACUAAUUUUUACCAUAAAUUUCUCCCUCCUUUGGAUCCAUAUACUCCAUAAAACCUUCAAGUUUGUUGCUCAUUUUUCUAUUUUUAGCACUUUGAAAAAGAAUCCAGAAAAAGCAAGAGGAAAAAACAGCAUUGCAUUAUCAAACCUGUUUUUGUGGAAAUUAAGGUUGUCCAAAAACCCCACCUGCAAAAUUUUCUUGUCAUGGAUUCUCUGUUGUCUUGACACCAUCUGCCCCUUUUGCAUGAAGGGGUGAUCUUUCUUGUUCCUAGGGUAAAAUCUCGAAAACCCUUUCGAGGUUUUGGUAAUUUUUAUGGCCUCUUCUGAAGUUGAGAUUGUUUCAUCUGCACAGCUUGGAUGUGUUUUGAGAGACCAGAAUGCCAGAAAAUUAGUGUAUAGGAAAAAGAAUAAUUCCCAUGCAUGCACUCAGCAAAAUUUAAAAGAUUUAGUCCAUUCUUGCUUUUCUGCAUCUCCUGAAAAUGCAGCUGAUUCUAAUAUGUCACAAGGAAAAAAAGCUGAUUCUAGAGGUGUUUCAUCACUUGUUAAAAAAUGGAGAGUUUUUGAGGCUGAGUCCCAAAACUCGUAUUCGAAUUCCAGUAACUAUUAUGUAUAUUCUUCAUGUAGCAGCAGGAGCAAUUCAGGUUCAACUGUGACGGAUAAUUGCCAUAUUCUUGAUGGACAGAUUAGAAAUUCAUUUGUUGCAGAGUCUGUCACAGAAAAAUCUGAAGCCGCGUCAGAGGGAUCUUGUUUGGAUUUGGAAUCGGAUAGGAUGGGUCCUAGUAGAGAUUCUAAUUCAACAGAACAGGAGAGAAUGAAGGUGGCUGAUAUAAUCAAGAAACUGAAAUGUGAAGAAGGCAAUGAGCAGGGUUUUGUGAAUGUUGCUUUGCCUAGACUUAGAACAUCUAUCGACCCUCUUGCUCCUGACAUCAGAGGUCAUGGGGCUUUUCCGGGCACACCACGUAUCAGAGGGCGCCAAGCUUAUAAUGAUUUGUUUGAGUACUUGGAGCGCGAUAGAUAUCAGGAGCUUCAACGCUUUGGGGAGCUUAAAGCUGUUACAAACUUUUCACACAGAGGCCGCCUUCAGGUAUUGUCAAUAUCUUUAUGUAAUUGGCUAUUCUAUGUUUUGAUGGAGAAAAUAUCAUUGUAAGCCUAAUAAAUACUGUCAUCUCAUGGUAAUAAAAGGAGGGCUUGGGACUUGGUUGAGCGUAUAUUUAAUUUCUGCUUAUAACAAAUACCAAAAGACAUAUGUUCAGACUUCUGUUAUGGCUUUAGACAUGGAUUUGUUAUUUAUUGUUUUGGGUGAAAAUUGAUCAACAGGCUAUGCUUAAAAUUAAGCUGAUACUCCAUGAGAAAGAAGUAAAAGAUGGUGACCAGAUAAAUUUACUGGCAUCUGGGAGGAGAAUCAAGAAUUCAGAAGGAUUCAGCGUCAUGCAUCUCAGGUAUAUAUCCCUUCUGGUACAGUAUUUUAGAUAUCAUAUAUUGAUCAGGCUUCUUUAGUCUUUUUUGUUCAUUGGUUUUUUAUUGUGGCAACUGUUCUCAUAUUGGAAAGAUGAAUAACAUUUAAUUUAUUCCUAAAAUCUCGAAUUUAUAUAUUGUGAAAAUGGAAACAUAGUCUUCAUACAAAUUUUGAUAUAUUCUGCAUAUAUGUUUUUUACGGUUCACCUGACACGACUUCCAAGCAGCAAAAUAACUCGGGAAGCUUGUAGUUGCAUAGCAGCUGUUUCUGCAAAUAUAAUAGUAGUGUUUUUUUUCUUCAUGUUGUUAUAUGUGCUUGAGCCCUUAUAUGAACUGGAUGAUCUUUUCUCAUUCAUUUGUAUUUUUCAUUUGAGCUUCUUUGGGCCUUGUUCUACAUAUUAAACGACAUUAGCUAACAUUCUCUCUUGACAUAAACUAAAAAUGAAUUCAGGGAGAGAUUUAACACAGGAUUAGAGCAAAAUGAGUGUAGCUCAAGUCCUCGUAAAGAGGUGAUAAACAAUGCCCAAGAUGUUGAUAGAUUGUCUUCCUCUACUCAACUCAAAGAGGCUGCAGAUCAUACCCCCAAGGCGAAAAGUGCUUCUACCUCUGGUCAACAUAAAGUGGUAAUAGAUUACACUCCUAGCACAGGCUGUGCAGCUAAUCCUUCUACCCCUGAUGUGGAUAAACCUUCUUCCCCUAGUGUGAAUAACCAUUCUACCCCUGAUGAGGAUAAUCUUUCUCCCCGUAUAGUGGAUAAUCCUCCUACCCUUGAUGUGGAUAAUCCUCCUUCCUCUAGCAUGGAUAAUCCUUCUAUCCCCAUUCAACUAAAAGAAGUGGUAGAUCAAACCUGUAGCGCAGGAAGUCCUCCUACCUCCACUCAGCGCAAAGAAGAGAUUCACCCCCCUGAAGUUACUCACCCAAAAAGUCCUCAUAAAAUUGUUAAGAGCAACUCAAAAUCCACAUGCAAUAUUGUAGAAGAUGAUGUAAAUCAGGACAUAAAUGUGGUGUGUCCUACCCCCAGAUCACUCAAAGAUAUUAUUCAUGCGUGGGAACAAACUCACCUGAGAAGUCUUUGCAAGUAUCGGGAUGUAGCCAAUGAGACCCUAGAAGUGGAGGCUUGGUCUACCUCUGACCGGGUUAAAAUAGAUAUUAGUCGACAUGAUGUGAUAAAUCCACAGCAGAAUACCCUUGAACUUCACAAUACAGAAAACCCUUUUCAAGAAGUUAAUCCUAAUCUAGAUGUUCUGUGGCAAGACACAACCUUUGACACCAGAAGUUAUAAAUCUCAAAAAUCUGAUGAUAAUGCAACAUCCCUGGGCGAAUGGAAGGACAGGAAUGAAGCUGAAGAGAAGGUUGAUGAUGAGCAGAAAGACACAGCCUUUGAUACCAGAAGUUAUAAAUCUCAAAAAUCUGAUGAUAAUGCAACAUCCCCGGGUGAGUGGAACGAAGCUGAAGAGAAGGUUGAUGAUGAGCAGCAAGACACAGCCUUUGACAGCAAAAGUUAUAAAUCUCAACAAUCUGAUAAUAAUGCAACAUCUCCUGAUGAGUGGAAGGACAGGAACAAAGAUGAAGAGAAGACGGAUAAUGAGCAGUCGAUAGUAUCCCUGCACGAAUUGGUAGAGGAUAGUCCACUUUUAAGGAUUGACUGGGAAGAGCAACCAGAUAGAGAGAAAGCAGUUGAAACUUUUCCCGACUGGAAGAGUAACUUUUCUCAAGCAGCGAGCGAAUGUGAAGAGGAUCAAUAUUCUCAGAACAUGGAAGAAUCUCCUCUGGACUGGAUAUAUGAUGUUUGUCGCCCACGUAGUGAUUGGGAAUGUCUCAGGCAAGAAAGGUACGAGGAGAUGCUUGAUCCAUUCACGGGUAAUGGAGAUAUAAAACAACUACUGGAAAGGUACGCCACAUAGAUACUGUCAAUUAAUAGUAAUUUCCAAAUUUUUUCUGUUUCCAACUGUAGUCUUAAAAAAUAAAGUAUAAAUUGAAGCACCAUCUGUAUCAAAAUGAAAUUUAAAACAGGAAAGGCAUUUGUGCUCUGUAUGACUGAGCAAUACAUUCUAGAACUAAAACAGUGAUCAACAUGCUAUAUAUUUCCCAGAUUAUACAUUUAUCAGAUUGUCCAAGAAACUUGAAAUUGAUUAGUACAUGCGAAUCAUAUACAUGAUAUACCGGUCCUUAAUACUUAGCAUCAUUGAAUGACAAGGAGGAAACUAUAUAAGUUUUUCGAUAUUACACUGGUAAACACAAAACUGUGGACUAUGAGUCUAUGAUGCAAGAAACUCUGGAUAAUUGUCUUCAAUUGCAGGGCUCAAUAAAUGAAAUUGGCUUCAUUAUUUAAAUAUUCUAUCAUCAAAAGCGGCAGGCAAACAAGUAGAAAAGUGAGUGUUGAUUUAUGUAUAUUAAAUAAAUGAAUUUGGCUCCAUUAUUGGUAUAUUCUAUCAUCCAGAGGUGGUCCUGACUAUAGGCGGACAAGACUUGCGCCUAGGGCCCCCUACAAUUAAAGGCCCCAAAAUUUUGAAUUUUUUAUAUAUAAAUGUGUGUAAUUUGUAGAGUAUAUAGAGAUGAGGUCCCCGAAAGUUAAUUUUGACUGAGGCCCCGUAAAUCUGAAGGGGCGCCCUGCUAUCAUUCAGAGCAGGACAAGUAGAAAAUGUGACUGUUGAUUUAUGCAUGCAGGAAAAAUGUGUCAAGUUUUCUGUCCAGCGGACUGCGGGACAAAAUAGACCAACUCAUGAUAUCACGCACUCAAGGACAGCCACUUGUAACAGAAGAUCAGGUAGAACAAGUGAAGCAGGAAGAGGCGGUAAAAGAAGAGGAAAUCUAUGCACACCAAAAAAAUGAGCAAGAAGGAACCGCGGAAUAUUGCUAUGAAGGAGAGGAAGAAACUGAGAAUUCAGUGGGGAUACACCAUAGUGAAGCUGAUGAAUAUUCUAACCAAUCGCCUUCAAUUACUUCAGCUACACCAGAUAUAUUUAAUCCAUGGAGUCAUAACCAAGAUAAUAAUGUCAAUGUCGAUCAUGUUGCAUCUCCAUCUCUUCAACAAUAUCCUUCAUUUAAUUCUCAGACUUUCGAAAAUCAGCAUGAUCAUGUUGCAUCUCCAUCUCUUCAGCAAUACCCUUCAUUUAAUUCUCAGACUUUGGAAAAUCAGCAUAUCUCUUCCCUCAGGAGUAACCAUCCUUCAAUUGUAAGUUUAACGUGCCUUUAAUCUCUUUGCAGUUUACCUCAUCCUUUAGCCAGACCUUUGUCAAUAUAAAGCUAAUUCACUAAUGUAACAGGAGAUGGAACUCAUAUCUGAUUUGAGAGGACACAUGGAGCAACUUCACAAGGAGAUCUUUGAUCUUCGAAAAUCAUUACAUACUUGCAUGGAUAUGCAGGUGAAAUUGCAGCAUUUUAUGGUGAGGCAGGUUGAAAGUGUCAAAAGCCAUCCAAGUAAGCACAUACUCUUUGCACAUUAUAUCUGCAACUAUAAUGUAAAUUCUUACCCACUAAUAGAUACCCUUACAGAUCAAAACAAAAGAACUGGUUCCAUCGAUAGAAUACCAAGAAAAGGAACUUGCUGCCUUUGCUUAGACGCAGAAGUUGAUUCUCUUCUGUACAGGUACUUGGAUAUGGGCUCCGAUAAUUUGAAUAUCAUACCACUUCAAUUAUGCAUAACGUAUAUUUGAAUAACUUUAUACAUAUUACAUGUUCAUCAGAUGUGGUCACAUGUGCACCUGUUACAUAUGCGCCCAUGAGCUGCAACAACAAAGUGGAAUAUGUCCAAUAUGUCAAGCUCCAAUACUGGAUAUCGUACGUACAUAUACUAAUUGAGGUGAAUGAUGAAAUGUCCAAUGUGUCAAGCUCUAUACUGGGCGUCAUAUACUGAAUACAGGUGAAUGGUAUUUCCUUUGCCUCAGGAGAAUGUUCGUUGAACAUUAUUUGAUAUAUUGAAUAUGAGAUGAGCAAUGAUCUUUAUCAGUUAUCAGUUAAUUCUAGUCUUAGGUUAGCCAGAGAUAAAUUCUCGUCGAUCACUAACCCAAAAGAUCUUCUUGUUUUUUUUUUCUUUUGGUACAGUAUCAAUACAUAGUUAACCAGCGUCUUUCAUUUUUAUGUUUGCCUACUUUUUGGAACUUACAACUGCAGUUUGCAAAAUUUCGAAUCAUGUUUUUCAUUCAUAGUAUUUAGUCUAUCAUAUUUUUUUGUCCUCGUUUAAGGAUUUCAGUAAUAAAAAUACAAAAGAGAUAGUAAAAUGUGCAAAAAAAAAAAAUGUUCUUGUUCAUAUGCUGCUUGUCAAGAAUUCUGGUUGCCAUUUGCACCUGGAGGAUAAGCUCCAUCACCCGGCUACUCGAUUAUGUCCACAUCCCCUGUAUGAACAUUACAUUAAUGAAAUGGGUGUGGUAUGAAAUUUGAAUCAGAUCCUUUGUACUAAAGACAAUUAAAGACCUCCACUUUGCAGCAAUCUAGCUCAAAGUAAAAUACCUGGCUGGCCUUACGAAAAUUUGUUUAUACCGAGAAAGGCCCAUCAUCCAUGCAUGACUUGUUUCUGUGUCAUCAUUUUGAUUUUGUGCUGUAAAUUUGACAUUACAGUUUGAGUAAGUUUUAUGAUUUCUUAGUGGUAGCCUAUAUAUUAAUAAAAAUUCCAUGAACUAAGAUUAUGCUAAAAUCACUUGUGUUAUGCUUACAUGCUGAUACCCUCACGCAUGCCCAAAUUCGGAUCUACAUCUAAGAGUCCUAGUCCGAGUCCAGAUACCAUAGAGGUGAAAUGACAAAUCACAAUUCAGUUUUCCCUACCGUUACAUUCUCAGGAUUUCCGUGUGCUGGUGUGUCUCUCCACUUCAUGGGCCUGGAAUAUGUUUCCCCUCCUCCCCCAAACCAAAUUUCUAAUUGUUCCAGGAUCUGGAAAAUAUUUCCUAAGGAUUAGAUGCAGGACAAUAUGUCCUAAUUGGCCCAAAUAUGAAAACCCUAUCUCUCUUGAACCUAUACAAUAAGAAAGUUGUAAGAAAUCUAUUCAUGGCGUGCAUAAAUGACCAUCCUAGAACUAGAUACAGGAUCACUUGGAAGUUGGAAUUAAGCCAUGUGCAUAGGCUGGAAAGUUGAUAUUAGUGAUGUUACUUUAUCCACCUUGACUUCUCAAAGGCCAUGCUCACCAUAUAUAGAUUAACAUUUUCGGAUCUUUUACCUGAUUCUACACUAUAGAUAACUCGAACCCUGGAUCAUCAACUUGAUCUCCAUCAGAUUCAGUUGAUGACUCACAUUUCACACAGACGAAACUUAAUCUUCCAGUAAUACUGGAUCAAGUUGGAAGCCUUGGCAAGUGUAGGGACAAUAUGAUCUAGAAUGCAUGUGCAUUCAGAUACAGUAACCAAAACUAUAAACGUAUCAUUUAUGUUUUACUGAAAAUAGCAGCGUCUCUGUAGCAGGAUAGGAUGUAAGCGGACCUAAUUACAUCUUCACUAGUAAAAGUUAGUGCACCUUGUGGAGAAUUUCUCAAUUCCAAAAUGUUAGUUCCCUAUGGGCUCCUCGUGUUUUUAGGUCCUCUAACACCCCUACCCCCCACAAGAACGAAGAUAAUGUUAUAAACGUGCACUCAUGCCAUAAACUGGACCAUAACACCGGUCCCUGGUUCCAUAUUUCUACAAUGUUAGCCUAAAGUAUAUGCCAAUCCGCUUAAAGUCAAUCAUAUAAGCUCAAAAUCUAAAACUCAUUCCCCUCCAUGAAAACGAAAGCUGAACAAUGCACCAAUACAAGUUCCCGUCAGUAUCUUAGACUCGUUCCUUGAAUCUGUCAUACAGAACAGUGAAAAUUCUCCUUUACCCGGAAUCUUAAUUGACAUCCUGUUUCCAGAGAAGCGAUAUUAAAAAUCUGUAGUUCAGGUGUACUGGCAAUAAUUAAGAAUGCGGAUCCACUAUUGAUGUUACCGGAGAUAGUUUAAACUUGAGCUGUUUAAUUUUCAUACUACAGAAAGAAUGGUACCCCAGGAAUUAAAUGGCUGUUGUGUACAUUGAAUGUUUAAUAUGACUGAAUUCAAUCUUAAUAACAUACAAGUUGGUCCAUCUCUCCUUUAUCCUCAAACUAGCUGCCCUUAGGACAAGAAAACAGAUUGCAUGCGCUUUAAGCUUAUAGCUAGUUUACGUGGUGAGGAUUGCAGGGUUCCCUUUCCAUACAUAAAGUUUUUGUCGGGUUUGUUAUGAAUUUUUUUCAAUGAAGUUCAUUUGAGGGUCGAGGAUGGAUCACGGGCGCCUAUUUUUGGACAUAACUUUGUCUUCGUGUCCAACAGAGUCUCUCGUGAGUCUAAACUCUGAUAUCAUGUGAAGUGAUCAAUUCUUCUAAAAUCUCGAAUUGUUAGGAGGACUCACCAGAAUAUGUUCGAAAAAAACAAUACGACAUGUUCUUAAAUAUAUGAGGGGAAAGGAGAACGAGAAUUCGGAUCCAUGACCUUAAAUCGCAACAAAGAAGCCUUGCGGCGACUAUUACAAAUUGUUCUGUGCAUACAUUUGUACUGCUUCAGUGGUUUUCAGAUUCCCUGCUUACAGUCACAGCUCACAAGGGUUAAUUUUUGUUGGAAUUUUGAAUGUUCAUCAAUGAGUGACUCCGUACACAAUUCAUUGAAAUCGUACUGUUUUUUAUGAUGAAAUCUGUUGGACUAAUAAUGUUCAUAUAAACUAGCAAUUGUUUCUAUAAUGCAAACCCAGAAAGAGAAUAAUAGAGAAGAAAGAGAUGACAAAUAAUACAGAUUAUGAAUAAUGGAAUGGCUCCUUCGUGCGUAGCUACGUGCGCAUAAAAAUUACCCAGAGCACAUGCGUAGAAUAUAGUGCUCUAGAAAUAGUCGAUUAACGGAUUAAUCAAUCGAACAGAUUCUAAUAUGAUUUGUAAAAAUCGGAUCAAAAAUCAGUUAAAUUGAUUUUUUUCAAGAAAUGUGUUUGAAGAACAUAUUUCAAUCUCGGAUAAACAUUCAUGUUGUAUUUUCAAGAAAAACGGAAAAAUUGAUAAUAAAAAAAAAAAAAACUUCGACUUAUCUGAACAAAUUGAUUCCGUAAAAUCGAUCGACCUCUUGUUAUCGAGAACGAACACCCGGGCUAAAAUAAAGGAAGAUGUGUUUAUUGAGCAGGAGGAUAAGUUGUGGAUGAAGAUGAAGUCAAGUUGAUACAAACAAAAAGAGAAUUAAAGGGCUAAUCAAUCAUGUGUUUUGCCUCGGUUGUGUCUCAAGAAGUGUGAGGAAUUAUUGAUGCAAAUAUGUCGGAUGAACACAUGGGAUGUUUUGUUCCUUAUAAUUCUAUAUCAACCUUGAUCGACUUGACAAAAUUUGACCAACUCUUGUUAACUACUGCUGUAUAUACAUUUGGUGUACUGAUUUUGGAUUCACUGACAGCUUGUUAAAAACUGUAGCUCCGUUACUCUGAGGCGGGCUGCUCUGUAUUUAACUAAUCUGCCCUUUAGAGUCAUUUUAAUUCUUUUUGUUUCUAGCAAAUAAAAAAGUUUUGUGAAACCAAGAGAUACUACUUACCAUUUGUCUUUGGUGAUAUAGUACUCUCUAUGUCCCUCUCAUUUCUUUACCGUUACUAUUUUAGGAUGUCCCUCUCAUUUCUUUACGUUACUAUAAAUAGUAAGUUUUUCUCAUCAUUACAUCCACUAUCUUCCCCCACUAUCUCAUAUUUAACAAUAAAAACUACUAUUACACCCACUAUUUUCCUCCCCUAUAUCAAAUCUAUUAUUAAAUAUUGAUAGGUCCCACCACUUUACCCACUUUUCAUCUAACUUUACUCAUUUUUCAUACAUUGUCUUGGUCUCCGUGUCCCCCUCCAAUGUAAACAAUUGAGGGGGACGGAGGGAGUACUAGUUGCAAGACAGAGAAUCUACUGGAUUGUUACGCCUCACAGUGCUGUAAGAAUAGGAAUCGGUAAUAAGACGGAUUUUGAUGUAUAUAUAAAAAUCGGUGAUUAUCCGGUCAAAUCGGCCACAAUACUAAGAUAUGUAAAAAAAAAACUUCAAUUUUAAAAGAUAAAUAUAUAUUUAAUUAGAUUAUAAAUAAUAUUAAAUUAGUAUCUAUUAAUCACCGAUUUUUCAAUUUAUCAUUAAUCUGUCAAUAAGUUCUGAGUCUUACUUUUUAAAACAUUAUCCCCUUCACGUGAAAAAAUGACAUGAUAAAAACUUAAUAAUAUCGGUGCAAAAAAAAAAAUGUAACUUUAAGUAUACAUGAAAAAUCCUCGGAUCUCUCCAUAAACAAAGCUCUAAUUAGAUAUCAAAUUACAUGUUCUCUAAACGAAGGCAUCAACGCGAUCUUAUAUUACUCAACAAAUAUUAAAAUCAUGUUCCUUUCUCAUCUUUGUUACUUAUUCAACAACUUGCAAUAAAAUAUGUUAAAUUUCCUAUAAAUGGAAUGUUAGGUCUUCAUGGCCUUCUGGUUCUGGCAUUGUUAUUGUGUAUUUGAUUGGUUUCAACAACUAACUAAACUGGAAUCCCAACUAAUGACACUUUUUUGAUUUGGCAUAUUGUUUAAGUCAAGGGGCAGAGAGAUGGAAUAACAUAACAGCUCUAAAGGAAGAGGAAUCAUUGGUCUUCCUGGCCCUCAAAGGCUCAAACCUUCUCCAUUCCUCCAGCUUCGCUUAUCGGAAAUCGAGGGUUCGAAUUAUGUCAAAAACAAGAUGAACGUGUGAGUGUGUUUUUUUAUAAAAAAAUAGAGUAAUAACAUUAGGUAAGGGGAAGUAAGGGAGUUACUGGCAUUCCCAUAUGGUCACAUUAAUUAAAAGGACAUUGCCCCAAAAAAUGGGAUAUAUGGCACACUCCAGCCCUACUACAUUCCCUUUAUAUACAACUCACUCCCCAUAUAUUUUCCACAACCUGUCUUACAAACACUUCAAUAUUCUACUUGCAUUCAAUUCCUUUUCAUAACUCUUCAAAAUUUCUUCAUCCUGUCACAAAAAGCUCCAGGCUUAAAAAUGUGUUCCCCUAAGUUAAAACUUCAAGAAACAGGUUCUUUCGACAUCAAUGGCCGUCGGGUUCUGCAGCCAACUUGCAACAGAGUUCCACUGUCAGAACGUCGCAGUUCACUAAAGAAAAACUUCACAAAAUCUGUCAUCACACCAAAGAUCCAACCAAGUAACAUCACCACUACUACUAAUGUCAGUCCUAAAGUUAGGCCUUCAGUAAUUACCCCACCUAUAUCUCCUAAGCUAAAAUCGCCACAACAGCCAGCAACUAAGCUAGUCAAUGAUCCAAAUGGACUGAGUUCUAGUACUGAGAAUGUAGUGACGACACCAAGAAGCACAAGCAAAGUUGUGACACCAGUAAAAAGGUCGAAAAAAAGUGUACCUUCCGUGGACACUACUACAUUGAAUUACUCAUCUUCAUCCAUUGUAGAGGCUCCUGGAAGUAUUGCUGCAGCAAGGAGGGAACAAGUAGCGAAUAUGCAAGUGCAGCGGAAAUUGAAAAUCUCUCAUUAUGGAAGAACAAAGUCUGCAAGGUUUGAAUCCGCAGUAGUACCCCUUGAUGAUGCUUCAACAACUGCUCCAGAGGAAAAAAGAUGCAGCUUUAUUACAUCUAAUUCUGGUAUGAAUUAAAAUAAUCAAUUAGAACAUAACAAAAACUACUUAAAAUAAUAAGUACAUUUUUCAAUCUUGUACAAAAGCUUAUAUAUUUUUCCUCUUGAUGCUCAUUGUGUUGCUCUUGCAGACCCUAUCUAUGUUGCUUACCAUGAUCAAGAAUGGGGCGUUCCUGCUCAUGAUGACGGGUUAAUAUUCAUAAUUUUUUCAAUCUUCUGAAAUUUGAUAUAAGUAUAUAACUCGAGGUUAGGAGCUGAUAUAUUUAUGCUUUGCAGGCUGCUGUUUGAAUUGUUAGUAUUAACUGGUGCACAAGUUGGAACAGAUUGGACUUCAGUUUUAAAGAAAAGGCAAGAAUUCAGGGAUGCUUUCGCAGAAUUUGAUGCAGAAACCGUCUCAAAAUAUUCUGAGAAGAAAAUCACAUCAAUCAGUGCUAAAUAUGCUAUAGCAGUGAGCCAAGUUAGAGGAAUUGUAGACAAUUCCAUCCGGAUACUCCAGGUGCUCUAUUCUAUAUUGUCAUAUGCAAUCAACACUAGAGUUUUAUCAGUUCUUUUUGUACUUAAUAGAUUCUUUUAAUUUGCGUACAGAUAAAGAAGGACUUCGGAUCUUUUGACAAGUAUUUAUGGGGAUUUGUUAAUCACAAACCAAUUGUGACUCAAUACAAAUCAAGCCAUAGAAUGCCUGCGAAGACAUCAAAAGCAGAAAGUAUAAGCAAAGACAUGGUAAAGAAAGGAUUCAGGCUAGUCGGACCAACUGUCAUACAUUCCUUCAUGCAAGCGGCUGGCUUUACAAAUGAUCACUUAACAACUUGCCCACGACACCUCCAAUGCCUUGCAUUGGCAUCUCAGACUGGGACCUUUGUAGCGGCAGCUCUAUAAGAUUAUAUAAUAUAUUGAAAAUGAGAUGAGAAUGACCUUUUAUCAUACCACUGUCAUAAAAUCUUGUCCUCCACUGACCCAAGACCUUUUUUUGUGACGAAGGGUUGUUACAUAAUCAAUUAAAUGCAAUUUUUCCAGAUAUGCACUUAUAAUUUCUUUUGUUGAUUAAUACAGUAAAAUAUUAUCACAAAAUAUGUACUCUUCGAGGGUUCCAGAUAUAAAACAUACACAAUUAAGCUAGGAAAAUCUUCUUUUUAAUGAAGUGCUCGUUUGGCGAGGACUGCCAUGUGCAGCUUGAGUGACAGAGCAUGGACUUAAUUCUGAAAAGAAAGAGCAAAUAUGUGCACAAAGUCGGAGUUCCUCCAGGUAUCUGAAGCAGGACUAACUGGAACAUGUGUUACACACAAAAAAUUAAUCAUUUGGCGCAAAAAUAUGUAAAAUCUAUCUUGGUCCCCGAAAACAACACAGUUGGACAAAAAUUAUCCAAGGCGUGCAGAUACAACCAUGGUAGAAGUUCGUAAAGUUUCUUUAAAAAAACCAUCCCAGAACUAGUUGCAGGAUCAAUUGGAUUCUUGAAAGUUAAAAUCAAGCCAUGUGCAUAUGCAGAUAUGCUGUAAAGUUGACAUGAACAGAAUUUGCUUUAUUUAUUUUGACUUCUUUAAGGUCAUGCUCCCCACAGAAUAAAAUCUCUGAUUCUAACACUCACUUCCAGUAGUUUAGUUUUGUGGUAGCAAUAACUCUAAGUCUCAGAGCCCGGAUAACUAACUUGAUCUACAUCGGUUCUACUUGAUGAAUCACAUAUCACGAAAUUAGAGGGAACUUGGAUCUUUUAAUUUCUUAGAUUAUAGGCCUCUUGCGAGAGGAAUAUCUCAGAAACUCUGCUUCUAUCUUGAGAGAAUCUUGUUUCGCUAAGAGCUACUUGCAAUUUGAUCCGGGGGUCCUCUACCCCCGGACCCCAACCCUUAAGAAUAUGCCAAUCUCAGCUCAAAGUUAAAAAUUAUUUCCCCGCGAAAAUGAAAGCAAAAUAAUGCCACAGUAAAGGUCUUAAUCAGCAUUGUAGAGCCCUUUCAACUUUUGGUGGAUCCGUCAACCAGAAUAGCUUAAUUUCAAUUUUACACCGCUUAAAAAAAUUAUCCGCAUUUCUGUACAAAACUAAGCUGCAUUGUCUGGCAAAUUAGCAACACGUAGGACACGGACUCUUUUCUGGCUGUGUAUACCUGUUGCUCGCGAUGAGUCAUUCAAAUCCUGCAAAAUUUGUCGAGGUCUACUGGCAAUAUUUAAAAUGUGGAUCCACUUGUGAUGUUACUGGAGAUGCUUACUCUUAAGCUAAUGAAUUUCAUACUACAGAUAAAAGGGUACCCCAGAAUUAAAUGGUUGCUAUGUGUACAUUGCAUGUUAAUAUGAUUGAAUUGAAUGAAAAUAAUUAAGAAACCGGGCCAUCUCCUCUCUCUAUUGCGAAACUAGAUGCCCUCAGAGACAAUAAGACAGAUCUCUAUGCGCUUUUAGCUUGGAGCUAGUUUCUGUGGUGAGGAUUGCAGGACAUCCCUUCUUAACAUACUUUUUUUUUCACCAUAUUAUGUAUUUUUUAAAUAUACAUGAACCGGAGCUGGGACUCGAAACAUGACCUCUAGCCAUUUCGCAAAGUUUAAAACUAUCAUCUAUGACAUAAUGUGACUUAAUGUGAUAAUCAGUGAUUUCUGAGUAAUUUAUGAUUUAUGAGUAACUCUUUUUAAAAAAAAUAUAAAAAAAUUAAGUUACUGAAAAAAAUAUUCAAACUAACUCUUGCCUUUAAGUCAGUUUCGGAUUUUUUUCGAAUUUUAAACUAACUUCUGCCUAGUUACAUAAACGGCCUCCUCGUCGAUAGUCCGGAAAGAAGGAAAGAGUCAUUGCCACUUGAUUAUACCGACUUAUACAUGGAUACCUUAAUCAAAAAACCGGUGAUUGUCCGUCGUAAAUUCAGAACUAUACUCUGAUAAUCAGAAGUUUGAUUACAUGAUGGUUUCCGUACACGGAUCAUAAGACUGUACUCUCUAUGUAUUACAAUAAUUAUUUAAAUCAAUAAUGUUUUAUAGCACUAGAUAUGAACUUUCUGAGUGCCGACCAAGAAACUAGAUAAAAUAAAAUAGAGGAAAUUGAUGAGAAAUGAUGCAGAUUGUGAAUAAUGGAUGGUUCGUUCGUACGUAGCUACGUGCGCAUAUCGAUCAAGCAUUGCACAUGCUAGAGAUCACAUAAACACACACAAGGUGGAACAAGAUUAAUAUGGAAUACUAAUAGCCUAUAUUAAUACUCUAAUUCCUAGUGAAAGACAUGUUUGAUGCUUAUGUUUCUACCCAAUAGUUCACGAGGGUACAUAAUCACACAAUCCGGAUUAAAAUUUCAGAUUUAUCAAAAAAAAUUUUUAAUAAAUCUUGAAUUAGUAGUUCAAUCAAUUAAUUUCGAUUCUUUUGUUAAAAAAAUUAAUUUCGAUUCUCUAUUUUUACGAUUGACGUGAUUGAUGUAAGAGCAUCUCCAACCAUACAAAGUCCUUGGCUAAAAAAUGAGUUAGGCAUUCCAAAACUAAAAAAUAUAGCCAACGUCCUGAAAAAAUAGCACUCCAACCACACUAAUCUUUUGUCUAUAAUUUUAGCCAACCUCCUAUGGAUGGCUAUAUUUGUCGAACCUCUACAGGUCUGUAAGAAAUUUGUAGGAAGAUUACACAUCAUUUAUUACCAUAUUCAACUGAUAUAUUCUAUUUUAACAAUUUAAAAUAUUAAUAACAUACUAUUUUUAAAUUAUAGCCAAACAGUCAAUACCAUUGAAGCAAAAUGUCUUACAGGUUCAGUAAAUUUUACAUAAUGUUUUACAGGUCCAAUUUAACCAACAAAUAGCCAACACCGUUGGAGAUGCUCUCAGUAGGAUAAGUUGUGGCUGAGGAUCGAGUCAAAUCGAUAAGGGAAAAAAGAAGUAAUAAAUGGGCAAUCAAUCAUGUGUUUUGCCUCGGUUAUGUCUAAGAAAUGCAAGGAAUUAUUGAUGCAAAUAUGUCGGAUCAACACAUGGGCUGUUUCUUUUGUUUCAUUUCAGGCCAAGUAAACUUCUAAUCCUUCAUUAUUUUCAGAGGUUACUUCCUUGUGAUUCUUGCACACGGCUUCUAAACUCAUUGUAUGUAUAAUCCUGUAUCUAUCUUGAUCGACUUGGACAAAAUUUGACCAACUCGUGUUAAAAAAUGUAUCUGUAUCUUGAUGGUGUACUAACUUUGGAUUUACCGGCAACUUGUUAAAAAAUGUAUAAAUUCUAUUACAACAGGUGGGCUGUUUCUUUUUUUUUUUUAAUUUUAUUUUGAUUUUUGGUUUAAAAAGUAUGAUGAAGUAAUUUGAAGUGAUAUUUGCCAUUUCAUAGUGUUUGUGGGUGAGAUUUCUUUUUGUUUUUAGCAAAUAAUAAAGGGAUACUCAAUAUUUGCUUUUGGUGCAUUAUAAAGUUCAUAUAAUUAAUCUUGAUACUCUUGUUUAAAGCAUCCUACGAGUGAGUAGUUUUGAUACUCUUGUUUAAAGCAUCCUACGAGUGAGUAGUUCUCAUGUAAUUAUUCAAUAAAUAAAUUUGGUUAUAGAAAUUGGGAAUCGGAACUAAAUGAUAGAAUUAUCGAUUCAAGAUAGAAAUUUAUCAGACAUUUUUUUAAUAAAUCAGAAAUUAGUCAAAUUGGAGUGUAAUUGAUAAAUUAAUUAAAAAAAUAAAACUAAUUAGAAAUUGGUCAAAAUUUUUAAAUAAAUCAGAAAUUUUUAUAAUACCGUGAAAAUGUGGUUUACGUUUACCACGGUGCUAUAAGGUAUGAUCCACCGGUCAUCAGAAUUAUGGUCUUGUUUGUCAUAGUGUUGCUUUUUUUAUUAUUCCUAGUGUGGAGGAAUACUUAGGUAAUUUCCUAUCAUCUUCUUCCUUCACAUGUCAAGAAGUAUGAAAAGUAUAUGUUUUCAGCACAAUCAGGUAGUUGAAACUUUGAAAUGAAAUGACAAAAACCAAAAAGUGACAAAAGUUAUGAACUACACAAUCACAGUGAAUUUUCUUUCAAGUAAAGUGAAUGUUUUUACCACCAAAUGAAUUUUUUUACCGAAAAUGUCUAUUUGUUAUAUGCUUAAGGGUUUGAAUAUCUGUUAUAAUAUUUUAUAAAAAAACAUAAUUAAAGAUUUUAUUUUCAUAAAAGAUUUCACAUUAUCAUAUUUAAAUGAUAUAUAAUUUAUAACAAUAUAUAAUAUUAAUAACAUAUUAUUUUUAAAAUAUAAUUAGUCAAUAUGACACCACCGUAAAGAUACAAUAUUUUAGGAAUUUAAAUUCUUUUAUACUAUAUUAUGGUGUUUCAAUUUUUCACUUGGUGCUUUGUAAGAUAUUGCUUGCAGCUGAAAACUUAUUAACUUUUGUCCUGCACUGCUUGCUGUUCAAGUUCUUGAUUUACUUUGAGUAUUGAAAUCAUAUUCCUUUCUUCACCAUUACUUAUUUCACUCUCUUAUAUCACAACUAAAUAAAGUUUAGUAUCAACCAAAUGUCAACUAAGUCUCUCUGUAGCCUUUUGCUAUUACUUUAAUUUUGAUUAGUUCCAACAACUAACUGAACUGGAAUUUUAUCUAAUGACUCUUUUCUUGAUUUUGCAUAUUGUGAAAGUUGAGGGACAGAGAGAUAGAAUUAGAUAACAGCUCUAAAGGAAGAGGAAUCAUUGGCCUUCCUGGCCCUCAAGCCUUCUCACUCACUCCAGCUGCAACAGUAAAAGUAACUAGGCCAUGAAAAUCAGGGGCCAUUGGAAUUAUGGGCUGGCUUAGUGCCACUGCCACCACCUAGCCGCUCCCAUUUCGGAUCGAUUUUAAAAUUUGGCACUUUUUGCUCGUUCGCAGUAGAUGGGUAAAAUAUCCGAAGAUAAGUCCAGGUCGCCUGUCAAGGUCAGUUUCGGAUGAGAAUUAGUCUCAUUGAAUGUUAUAUGGGUACCUUCCGGAUGUGAGGAGUUGUUCCGCAUCAGUUGUGGGAGGAGACAAUUUUGAGACCUUUUGGAAGGUGUCAAAAAUAAAACCGUGCGGAUAAGUCCCAAAACAGACAACAUCAUAUUAUUAAGGAAUUAUAGCUUGCUUAGCGGAUCCAACAAGUGGUAUCAGAGCGAGGCUGGUAUAAAUGAUGAUGAAAUCACGACGAGUAAUGUUAUUUUUUUGAAGAAAAACAAAACAAGACAAGUAAUGCAUUUCGGGUUAUGCAGAAAUAAGAAAAGUGAGACUAUUAUUUUGAGACGGGAACGAGUAUUUCUCCAUGCAUGAAACAUGUAAUGUGUACAAUAUUCGAAACUAACCCAUAACCCCAGGUAAGGGGGAAGUAAGGGAGGUAGUGUCAUUUUCAUAUGGUCACAUUAAUCAAAAUAAUAAUGCCCUAAACAAUGGGAUGUAUGGCAGACUCCAACCCUUUCAUGUUACAACCUUGCUAACUCAACCCUACCAUAUUCUCUUUAAAUACCACUUAAUCCCCAUAUCUUUCCCCCAACCUCUUCUCAAAUCAUUUCCAUAUUCCACUUGUAUUCAUUUCCUUCUCAUAACUCUUCAACAUACAAUCAUUUGAACAAAAUACUCAAACCUGAAAAUGUGUUCCUCCAAGCUAAAACUUCAAGAAACCGGUUCUUAUGACAUCAAUGGCCGCCCUGUUCUGCAGCCAACUUGCAACAGAGUUCCACUGAUAGAACGUCGCAAUUCCCUAAAGAAAAACUCCGCAAAAUCUGUCACUGCACCACCAAAGAUCCAAUCUUUACCAACAAAAAUUAGUACCACCCCCACCAAUACUAAUGUGAGUCCUAAAGUAAAGCCUUCAGUAAUCACCCCACCUAUAUCUCCUAAGAUUAAAUCUCCACGACAACCAGCAAUCAAGCGAGGAAACGAUCCAAAUGGAUUGAGUUCUAGUACUGACAAGGUAGUGCUGACACCAAGAACCACUACCAAAGUUGUGACACCGGUGAAAAAGUCGAAGAAAAUUGCACCUUCUGUCGACACCACUACAUUAAAUUACUCACCUUCAUCCAUAGUCGAGGCUCCCGGAAGCAUUGCAGCAGCAAGGAGGGAACAAGUUGCAAAUAUGCAAGUGCAGAGGAAAUCCAAAAUUGCUCAUUAUGGAAGAACAAAGUCUGCAAGGUUUGAGCCUGCAAUAGUACCCCUUGAUGAUGCUACAACUUCUCCAGAAGAAAAAAGAUGCAGCUUCAUUACAUCUAAUUCUGGUACGAAUAACUUCAAGAAUCAUGCAUAUCAAAAAUUACUCAUAAUAAGAAAAAAAUUUUGUCUAUCUAGUCUUAAGUUCCAUGUAUUUUUGCUCUUGCAGAUCCUAUCUAUGUUGCUUAUCAUGAUCAAGAAUGGGGUGUUCCUGCUCAUGAUGACAGGUAAAUAUUCAUAAUUUUUUUGAUUUUCUGAAAUUUCAUACAAGUACAUAACUGGAGGUUAGGAGCUGAUAUAUUUAUGCUUUGCAGGCUGCUGUUUGAAUUGUUAGUAUUAACUGGUGCACAAGUUGGAUCAGAUUGGACUUCGGUUUUAAAGAAAAGACAAGAAUUCAGGGAUGCUUUCGCAGAAUUUGAUGCAGAAACCGUCUCCAAAUAUUCAGAGAAGAAAAUUAUGUCAAUUAGUACUAAAUAUUCUAUAGCUUUGAGCCAAGUAAGGGGGAUUGUGGACAAUUCUAUCCGAAUUCUCCAGGUACUUAAUUAUAUCUUGUCAAUGAUGAUAAAAAAUUAUCCGCAAUCAGACACUAGUGUUCUGUUGUGUUCUGUUCUUAUUUCUUAACCAAUUCUCCUAAUCUUCGUACAGAUCAAGAAAGAUUUCGGAUCAUUUGACAAGUAUCUGUGGGGAUUCGUGAAUUAUAAGCCAAUCGUCACUCAAUACAAAUCAAGCCACAAAAUGCCGGUCAAGACAUCAAAAUCAGAAGGCAUUAGCAAAGACAUGGUAAAGAGGGGAUUCCGGCUAGUCGGACCAACUGUCAUACAUUCCUUCAUGCAAGCGGCUGGCCUCACCAACGACCACUUGACCACCUGUCCGCAGCACCUCCAGUGCCUUGCAUUGGCAUCUCAGACUGGCGCUUUCGUGGCGCCAGCUCUAUAAGACCAUGACAAACACUUGCUAUUAAUUCUACUAGACAGAGUGUAACAUAAUAGCUUAUUUGAUCUCUAACUACACAUUUCAAUUCAUUGUGUGAGAGUGCUUGUUAAAUUAUUAAGUUCUUGAGAUUGAAGUGUAAGAGAGGACACAAGGCAUGUGCAGAGUGGGCUGGAGAAUGGGGACAGAGCCAUGUGUUUGGUUGAGUGGUCAUGGCUUUCAUUUCUUAGUGACCACAACAUCUUCUUGCUGCUAUCCAUUAUUCCAUUGCUCUUUAACAGCCUGUGAAAGAGCACAAUUUCAGAGAUAAAAAGGGCAUUUGGACCAGCCCUUUCAUCUUCAUGUCAAUUAUUGAAUGAUUGUUUCAGUUUUCUAACUUAGAUGUUUAACAUGUGCAAGACAGUAUUGCUUAUCAUAAUCUAGUGUGAAGGGUUUUGAGUGUUUGUUUUCGAGUUUUCUCCUUUUGGAUUGUAUCAUUAUUGACUGUAUUGGAAUGUAAUUAUCAAAAUUCUUGUUCUCAUUGCAUAAGAUUCCCGCAUUAUAUAUGUACACAAUAUUGCUCUUAUUAACCUGUGAUCAGAAGUUCACACUUGAUUAUCGCGUCAGACACAAGCUAGCCAGAACAAUUCAGUCAUGAAUGCUGAGACUUGGACUAGAAAGAUGGAAAUACAAAUAAUGAGAAGUGUACAUUGGUAAAUGAAUAAGUUAAGCAUCAAAGCCAUGUGCAUGGCAGACUUUUUACUUUUUAAAAGAACUUGUACAAGCAUGGAGGCAGGCAACAUUAUCACAAAAGAGCAUAUUUACAUGCUUAGCAUUCAGGUCAUACUAGCUUUUAAGAAUGUCAUUCAAACAAUCAAACCUGUCCUUUGGUGACACGAAUAAAAAACACUCCACUUAUUAAAUUUCAGUCACUAUUGUAUUUCAUUACAUUAGCGUGACAUAGUUUGACUAUUCAAAACUCCCAAUACAUAUUUAUUUUCCUACGAAUAAAAAUAUAUAUAACUUGAAGGAGUGUAAGAAGGGAUGAAGCAGGAGAACAAAACAGGAAAAAAAAAAAAAUCUUAUGUUUAAAGAUAUAUUAAUAAUUUUUAUUAAAUUUUUAAGUUUGAAAUGGAAUUGGUAUUCUCAAAAAUAAAAUUUAUGUUCAUUUUAUUUAUUCUGUUAAAUAGGGAGGUCUAAUUUUAUGCUUAUUGCGGGCUUUUAUUUUCUGAGUUUUCAUAUUUCUUCGUAAAAAGUAAAAACAAAUUUAUAUUCAUUGUUGAACAAUGCCAAACUGUAACUUAUUCUGAAAAUUAAACAAAAUGGCCGUGUUGACGAUAUUUAGCGUGUUUGUGCAGAUUUUAAGCGCUUUCAACUGUAAGAUGAAAAUAGUUAUUUUUUUAAUAGAUCAGAGAUCGUUAAAAAAUGUAAGCCAGAAGUGUCCGACUUAAAUCAUAAAUCGGUAAGAUGUAACUUUUUAGUCAAUUUAUUAUAUUUCUAUAAUUUUUAAUAAAAAAACAAUUUCAAUACUAUAAUAAAUAAAUUAUCAAAUUUAAUAUUUUAUUAUUUUUCUAAUGACUCAUAAGUCAUUUAACAAAUAAAAUUACCUAAACACAUAAUUUAAAUGUAUAAUUUUAAGUCGUUGUCAUGACAUUAAGGUAAUUAUUAUUGUCAUGUGUUAGUAAAGAAAAGCCAAUCAAAAAGUCUGUUGCAUACUGGUAAAAAUAAGUCUGGUAAAAAUAAGUCUGUUGCAUACUUAUAUCAAAUAAAUCAUUCGGGUUAUGCAAGCGGACCAUAAUUCUAUUCCUCUGUUCGAUUGACUAAAUUUUUAGCACAAAGUGCAGGGAGAAGUUGAAAACCAACCGAGAAAAAUUGCCGCACGCACGAGCAUAUCACAAGUUAACUGCAUAAACCGUGGGUUAUAUAAUGCAGAGUUUGUUCUGAAAUGAGCGAUUAUUUCAACGAAUUUUCUAUGGUGUGCCCAUGGGCACACAAUAGUCACUAACUCCCAUGGAAAUACUAAUUUUUGGUUGGUGGAUAGAUAAUAAAUGUUGAUGGCCGCAUGCAUUUACACCAAUUCCACAAAUCAAAUGAAACCAUUUUCAUGAGAAUUAGUGCUUAUUGUGUGCCCUUGGGCACACAUUAGAAAGACCGUUGUUUCAAUUAUCAGCGGCUUUGAAGAACGCGUUAAUUUCAACUACGGAGCCAAAGCAACUUUAAGCCUCUUUAUCCGUGGCUGUUACCUGGAGAGAUUUGAGCGGUCCUUUCUUUUUCUUUUUCUUAACAUGUUACGUCUGGGGCGGCCCUCGACCCUCGAGUUCAUGGACGCUAAUCAACGCUAAUCAAAGUCUGUUUAGUGAGUCGUCAUUCAUGUUGUUCGAAUUUAUAUGUUGAUGAUUCUGAAAUAACAUAAAGCCAGGCAAAAAAAUCAAGGUACUCUCUUUCAUCUCUAAAAUAAGUUUAUAAAAAGUACUCCCUCCGUCCCUUUUUAUCUGUCCAUUUUGGGAAAAAAAACACAUACCAAGGAAUAAUUGAUUGUAUGAACUUUUUCAUUAAAUACCUCUAAUUAAUAUCUUGAAAAUGGUGGAAUACCCCUACUUUAUGUCUUGAAAACAUGAAUUCAACCAAGUUUUAAAUAAGUCAAGCCUUGAAAAUUGAAAUUAUGGAGAUAUAUUUGAAAAACUAUCAUUAAAUUAGUUUUGAAAGUAUAAAUGGACAAAUAAAUAGGGACAAAUUUUUACUUCCAAAGUGGACAGAUAAAUAGGGACGGAGGGAGUAUUAUAUAAAGCUAAUUUGUAAACCGUGCUUUGAUCUAAAAAAUAUAAAAAGGACCCAAAAUUUUAUAAUUGGGCUAAGGAGAAUGUGUCAGAUGACCUAUAUGAUUCAAUCAAUUGAAAUCACACCCAUUCAUUUACAACUCGUUCACAUAUACUGCUCCAUAGUUUCCACUCAUAUCCAAUCAUUUAUAAUAAUAUCUAAUGUAUACAUAUAGUAUAAUAUAUGAUUAUAUAUAUAUAUUUUUUAAUAUUAAUAUUACAGAAAUAAGUAAACAGUUUUUCGAUUGUUGUAUUAAAUUUCGAGGUUGCUUCGUUUUAAAGAUUUAAAGUCAAUAAAUAAUAUGAUUUAUUACUCAUACUCAUAUCUAUAACGUGAAUAUACAGUUGAGCAAAAUUAAGUAUAUAAAGGCGUGAAGUUUGUCAUUCUAUUUAAUCACACAAUUAGUCAUUGAACAUAAUCAUGUAAUAACCUUCUAUAUUAAAAUAGUACUUUUUUCGUAUCUCUCAUUUUUGACAUUUUUUUCACUGACAUAUAUUUUAAGACUCUAUACAGUAUAGUUUUAUCAUUUAUUUUUAAAAUUUUCUGUUUUAUAUAAAUAUGAGAAUAUCAUAUGUUUAUUGGGAAAAAAUUAAUCAAAAUAAUUUGUAAAAUUAUAUUUCAAAAAAAUUUAAAAUACAUGUAGGGCGGAGUGUGAUAAUUUUUCCUCCCACCAAAACAGUAGUAAAACUCUUUCAAUUAUCUGCGGCUUUUAAGAACGCGUUGAAGUCAUCCCUUGCCUUCUGCAAUCGAGGACUAAUGCAGGGAGAUGUUACAGUCGAAUGACGAGGUGCACGAAAUGAACUUGAAACACGAACUUGGCUAGAUAAUUCAUGGGAUUUUCGGCUAAUCCUUUUUGUCGAACUGUUCUUGGUGCCUUUUCGCUCCUUUUCAAACACAAAAGCCGCUCUCACAGGCAAAUGUUUGUCGUUGUCACUACAUUGGAUCAGCUCCAGGGGCAGAUCAAAGAAUUUGGAUGAGUUUCCACCUUCAUUGUCAUGUAUGAUUGCAGAUGAAGUCCACGAGGCACAUUCGAAUUUUUCCAAUGAAACCGUCCUGGAUAUUACAUUCACCAGUUCGGGUUCCUCUUUUCUUGACCUUACUGGUUUCGCCUUCCCAAAUCCUGGCAAGUACAAACACAUAGCUCCACAUCUAAAAUUGUCGUCUUGAGAGUCCAGAUUAUUUUGCACCUUCUUUAAUUGAUCAUUUCUUGUUUCAGUUCUCCAAGGAUUGCUCAAAGACUGAUCAAGUCCAUCAUCUAGUGCAAAUAUUUUGCCUUCACCACUAGAGUUACUCCUCUGACUAUGAUUUAAUGCGUGAGUCUGUUGGCGGCCUAGUGGAUUCAAUGCAUGACUCUGAGGUUUCUUCUUCGGGGCAGCUGUGCUGAAUUUAGGCGAUGAAGUAGCAGAGCCUGGAAGGCUAUAGCUUAAGAAACUGGACUUUCCGGGUGGGAGAGGCAGAGGAGGCAUUCCAUAGUCUUUCGGAGAUGUGACAACAGGUUGCAAUUUUCCUGAUUCUUUAAUGGAAACUGCAUCCACCAAAAUAUGCCUAUCUCUCGCGAAAGUUCCCUCUGCUAGCUUAUCCGGAUUCUCUACUGUAAAGAACUCUGAUUGAUUGAAUUUUCUGACCUUUGUCAAGACUGCUAGUUGAACAUACGCUUCCUCUGCCACAGGAUGCUCCAGGCAGAAGAAUUCAUCCGAAGGAAGAAAUGCCAUCGCGGUUGAGGAUGAAAACCACUGAGAUCAGAAGAAGAAUCAAAGCUCUUAAGAAGGAGAUACUGCAUCAUAAUUAAGGUGGAACGUGGAUAGCAUGUCCACAACACCACAACAGCAACAUCAUAGUAGUGGUUUAGUGGUUCCCAUGUCCUAUCAAUUUCUCUUAUAAUACCAACAUACAGAUACAGGUUAUUAUAAUUUAGUUGACUACAAUCAAAGAGGUCUCGUUAAACAAAUUAUCAGAAUAUGUGAUUCAUUGAAUAUGUGAUUCAUUCUGAUAAACCACAUUUUAACGUUAUGGGAGAACUAGUUUUUAUAUGUCAUCAAAACAAGUUUUCAUUUAUAAUUUCCUUCAAAAACAAGUUUUCAUUCAUAAUUUCGUUCAUCUUUAAAAAUGAGGUUUAGAAGAACCAUCUAUAUAAGUGUAAUGGUCUAUGAAUCUAGAAUAUAUAAAAAAGGCCUAAACAUGCCAAUUGUAUAAUUCGGUCCAAGUACAAUCUAGUGUAGUCCACCUCUCUUAAAAAUAAGCCUUCAGAACACAUUUAGUGACUUUCUCAUCUGCGUGGACAACCAAAAAUGUUGACUUCAACAUGAUCAUAGGUAAACAUCUGUAUUGUUAUAUGUCCAAGUUAUGAAAUCUAAUUCUUCAAUCUCCUAUGCUUCGAAUCUCCUAUGCUUCGAAUCACCCGCUCAAUUGAAAUCAAGCCGAUUCUUUUGCUCUCUCCUCAAAUAGGCUAGUCCAUAGUUUCCUCUCAUAUCCAAUCAGUUUAUAAAAAUAUCUGAUACAUAUAUAAUAAUAUAUAUUAAUAUUACAAAAAUAAGUUAAGAGUUUUUCAAUUGUUGUAUUAGUUUUAAAGGUCUAAAAGUGAAUAAAUAAUAUGAUUUUUACUCAUGCCUGUAACGUGAAUCUGCAGUUGAGCAGGAUUAUGUAUAUAAUGGCGUGAAGUUUGUCAAAUAUUUCAUCACACAAUUACUCAUUUAACAUAAUCAUGUAAUAACCUUCGAUUUUAAAAUUUAAAAUACAUGUCGAGUGUGAUAAUUUGGCCUUCCACCCAAACAGUAGUCAAACUUGUUCAAAUGAAACGAUGGGGAAGUAGGAAUAUAAUUUCCCGUCCUGGUUUGCAUGUUAAUGGUCGAUUCUGCUCAUUUAGCUACGUACAGACAUUGUAUCAUGCAUGCAUGUUUUUUGGACUAGCUUCGAUUCGAUACUCUAUGGCUAACUGGCUGCAUCGAUCACUUCAUCCUAUACACGGAUUCUUUUCACAAGUUCUUUGGACUAGCUUCGAUUCGAUACUCUCUGGCUAACUGGCUUCAUCAAUCACUUCAUCCUAUACACGGAUUCCUUUCACAAGUUCUUUCAUUUCAGGCAGAGGUAAUUAGAAAACCGCCCAAAUCGCAUAAACCGUAUGCACCGCACCAAACCGCGGUUUUUAAUUUUCGUGGUGCGGUUGCGGUUUGAAUAUAUCACAAACCGCACGGUGCGGUGCGGGUUGCGGUUUGACAGAUUUGUAGUGCGGUUCACAUCGCACCGCAAUAUUAUAACAUAUAUAUUAGUGAUUGUCAAAUAAAAUUAUAUUAUAUACAUAUAUAUUAUUUAUAAUUAUGUUAUAUAUAUUUGUUAAAUCUCUUUGAAUAAUAGUUAAUUAUUAUUUUAUCAAUCUCGCAUUACUAUCAUACCAAAUAUGUAUGAAAUGAUUAUAUUAUUAUAACAUGUCUCUUUGUAGUUAGUACUCAUAUUUAUAUCAUAUUUACACUUUUGUUUGUGUUAUUUAGUAGUUGUUGUAGUUUUGAAAUGAUAAAUAUCAUAUAAAUUCAUUACAAAAAAAGAUUUUAAUUAUUAUAUAUUUAAAUUUUAUUUCAAACUUCAACUAAAAAUAUUUAUUUUUAACCGCACAAACCGCACCGCACCACUCCGCAUUUUUGUGGUGCGGUUUACAUGAUUUUUAUCAUAGCGUGGUGCGGUUGCGGUUGAGUUUUCAACCAAACCGCGUAUGCGGUUUGGUUCACGGUUUUAACGAAAAACCGCACCGCGAUCAAUAUUUCUAGAGGUCAACAAAAUUGACCUGUCAGUCAACAAAAUGCAAAAGAUCAAUAUUGCAGGAUAUCCCUAAUCAGUGGUCGAGUUUGAUUUUUGAGGGGAUCAAAUUUGAUUCAUACCUAUAUACAUAUUAUAUAAUCAAAAGAAAUAACAUUAAAACUCAUGCACGGCCUAUUUUAAUACGUAAUUUUCAAUUUUUUAAACAAUAAUAAAAAAUAAAUUUCAAUUUUUAUUAAAAAAAUUGGUUAGUUUUGCCAUAUAACUAAUGAGUAAUUGAAAAAAAACAUUAUUUAUAUAUAAUGAUUUACCGGCACAACAUGCAUCUCUGCAACUAAUUUAAUAUAUAUCUCCACAAUGGAGAGUGCAUUAUAUACGAUGAUGAAAUCAUUAAAUUUUUUUGAUUCUUGAUCAUGUGGCAUGACUUGAAAAAGAGCAAAAAAAGUGAUUUGGCCGCAAUUUCGAAUUAGAAAACGGGCAAAUAUAAUUGAAGCUUAAUUAUAUUAUUCAGUAUAGAAGAAAAUUAGGCGAUGAAGCAGCAGAGCCUGGAAGGCUAUAGCUUAAGAAACUGGACUUUCCGGGUGGGAGAGGCAGAGGAGGCAUUCCAUAGUCUUUCGGAGAUGUGACAACAUGUUGCAACUUCCCUGAUUCUUUCAUGGAAACUGCAUCCACCGAAUUAUGCUUCUCUCUCGCGAAAGUUCCCUCUGCCUGCAGCUUAUCCGGUUUCUCUACUGUAAAGAACUCUGAUUGAUUGAAUUUUCUGACCUUUGUCAAGACUGCGAGUUGAACAUACGCUUCCUCUGCCACAGGAUGCUCCAGGCAGAAGAAUUCAUCUGAAGGAAGAAACGCCAUCGCAGUUGAGGAUGAAAACCGCUAUGAAGAAAAAUUAAAGCUCUUAAGAAGGAGAUACUGCAUUAUUAAGGUGGAACGUGGAUAGCAUGUCCGCAACCACAACAGCAACAUCAUAGUAGUGGUUUACUGGUUCCCAUGUCCUAUCAAUUUCUCUUAUAAUACAAACAUAUAAAUACAGGUUAUUAUAAUUUAGUUGACUACAAUCUAAGAGGUUUCUUUUAACAAAUUAUCAAAAUAAUAUAUGAUCUUACUAAACCUCUUUCUAACAUCUUGAGAUUUUGGAUAAACUGGUCAUUUAACAUGCUUAACAUUACUCAAGCCUACCCGACACUCGGCAGAUAUCUGAAUCAUCAAUUUUAACUGCUUAACCAAAGCAACUAACUUUAACCCUCUUUGUUCGUGGCCGUUACAUUACAUAGUUACAAGGAUCCUUUCUUUUUAUUUCAAGACUGUGUAUGUAAAAAGGUAAUACUUUGCAUAUUUGAACAAUAAUUCAACUCUUUUUUAUACGUCAUCAAAACAAUCUUGAUCGUUUGAUAUAAAAUAUAUAUAUAUAUAAAAAAAUCCUACUGUCACAUGGGCAAGCAUACCAACCCCCCAAUCUUUCGAAUCACUCGGUCAAUUGAAAUCAGGCAGAUUGAUUCAUGCUUCCUUCAAAUAUGUUGCCUCAUAGUUUCCUCUCAUAUCCGGUCAUUUAUAAAAAAAAUCUAAUAUAUAUAACAAAAAUAUAAUAUACAGAAAUAAGUUAAGAGUUUUUCAAUUAUUGUAUUAAAUAUCGAGGUGGCUGUGGUUUUGAAGAUCUAAAAAGUCAAAUAUAAAUAAUAUGAUUUAUUACUCACAUGCAUGACGUGAAUCUGCAGUUGAGCAGGAUUAUGUAUAUAAUUGCGUGAAGUUUGUCAUUUUAUUUAAUCACACAAUUAGUCAUUCAACAUAAUCAUGUAAUAACCUUCAAUGUUAAAAUAGUACUUUCUUUGGUCACCCUCAUUUUUUACAUCUUAUUUUCCACUGUCAUUUAUAAGAUUUUACAAAGUAUAAUUUCAUAAUUUAAUUUUAAAAUUUUCUAUUUUAUAUAAAACAAGAAUAUUAUACGUUUAUCGAGAAAAAAUUGAUUAGAAUAAUUUCUAAAAUUUUCAGAAAAAAUUAAAAUACAUGUUGGACGGACGGAGUGUGAUCAUUUGGCCUUCGACCAAAACAGUAGUCAAAUUUGUUCAAAUGAAACGAUGGGGGUUUUCAAAGUAGGAAUAUAAUUUCUCGUCCUGGUUUGCAUGUCAAUGGUCGAUUCUGCUCAUUUAGCUACGUACAGAUAUUGAUUGUAUCAUGAACGCAUGUCAUUUGGACUAGGUUCGAUCCGAUUCUCUAAGAAACAGACGAAUUUCUUCACUUUUCUAGGGUGAUGCAAAAUUGACCUAUCAGCCAACAAAAUGCAAAUAUUAUUAAAUUAAUAUUGCCGUUUAUUCUAAUCAGUGAGUUUGAUAAUAGUCCUUUAAUCUAACAUGGCCUCAGCAUGCAAAUUGUAUAAUUGGGCCAAGUACAUUCUAGUGCGGUCCAAUAAUCUGCAUGUUACAGGAUGGCCUGUAUAGUUCAUAAACAUAAACCUUGAGAACACAUUUAUGCUUUUAUUAUUUAUACAUGCAAUUGCUGAAAUAUUUACCUACGUUCGAAAUAGUCUGGUUCGAAUAACUUUGAAAAAUUAUAAUAAAUAUCAAUUUUUUAUAUUUACUUAGUAUUUCAGUUUUAAUGUAUAUAAUUGUUUACUCGUACUAUAUUAGUCUGGUAUUUUAAACGUGCUUCAAUACUAAAAGUGUAUAUCAUUAAAACCAUCAAUAUAUAUAUAUAUAUAUAUGAAUUUAAAAAUCAUAGAUAAUAAAUGUAACUUUGAUUAUAUUGGGUCUCAAACUAUUAGAGAAGACUGCCAUGUUAUUAGCAAACCCGUGAUGUGUGCAAUGCUUUUACUCUACCCCUAUACUACCACUCUUCCAUUUACCUGCUCUGAUUCAUGAUCACUUUCUUUCUUCACAUAGGUCUAUAGUUUCCUCCAAUAUCUUACUAUUUAUUAAAAUAUCUUAUAUAUAACUAUUAUGCUAAUACAUAUUAAUAUUACACAAAUAAGUUAAAGAGUUUUUUUAUUAUUGUAUAUUAUAUAUACCGUGGUGUAGUGGUUUUAAAGGUUAAAAGUCAGUAAAUAAUAUGAUUUAUUACUCAUGUCUAUAACGUGAAUAUGAGCAUGAACAUAAUAGCGUGAAGUUUGUCAUUUUUUUAAUCACACAAGUCAAUCAUUUAACAUAAUCAUUAAUCAUUAUUAUUGGUUUUUAAAUAGUACUAUCUCGCUGAACCUGACGCGCAUUUUAAGAUUUCAAUAAAAUUUCCUAAAAAAAAGACUUCAACAAAAUAUAAUUUAUAAUUUUUUUCUAAAAUUUUCUAUUUUACAUAAAAGUUUGGAAUUAUACUUUUAUUCCUAGAAAAUAAUUAAAAUAUAUUUUAAACUAUACUUCUGGAGCAUUUAAAAUUUUAAAUAUAUUUGACCUCCCACCAAAACAGUAGUCAAACUUGUUCAAAUGAAACAAUGGGGUUAUCAAAGUGGGAAUAUAAUUUCGACUUAAUUACCGAAAAAACUAUGAAAUUAUUAUAAUUUUUUCAUUUUAACCAUAAAUCUAAUUUUGUUGCAGAAAAAUGCAACUAACUAAUAGAAAACGUAUUUGAGAGAACCCAAUUUGAAAAUAUUUCUAACCAUAGUUAAAUGGAUGUCCUACGCAACAUUACUAAAAUAUCGUUUUUUUUAUAAUUUUAUUUUAAAUAUUUACCUAAUCCAUUGUACACACACCAAACAAUUAGGGUUUUUUUACGUAAACUGCACUUAAGCGAAAUCCAUGAGCUCACGUAAUAGCCCACAAACUAUGUGAACCAGGUAAACCGCACUUAAGCGAAAGGCUCUCGUCCGGAGACAUAAUCACAAAUGCUGCUCCCUUAAGAAGUCGAACCCGUGACCAAGAGGGUACAAGUCCCCUCUUUAACCAGCUGAACCAACCCUUGCGGGCAAUUUUUAUUUGAAUUAUCAUGGAUUGUCAUAAUAUAAUUUUAAAUUAAUAUCGGAUAAAUAAUUAAUUUAAUUUAAUUUACAUUUUAUUUUGAUUAGUAAGAAUUUAAUCUUAUUUUAAAAAUUACACACACACACACAUAUAUAUUAAUAUUGUUGAAGAAUUAUAUUUAUUAUUGAAAAUUAUAGCAUAUAAAUUGUUUGUUUUUUUUAGAUGAAUAUUAGUUCAAUAAAGUUUUAUUGUCCAAACAAAUUACUAACAAAAUGCAUAAAAGAAUAAUUAUAAUAUUUAUCUAAAAAUCACGCAGAAAUCUCAAAAUACCAAUAUAUAUUAUAUGUGCUUGUGUAUGUUGUAUCCGAACAAAACACAAUUAUCAUAUCCAUGCUGCAGUAAUAUAUCGACAAACUUAGUAACAAUGUUAAGAGCGAUCAAGAGUUCGAAUAAAUUUAAAAAUUCGAUACAAAUAUAAAUUAUGAUUUGCUCAUAUGAAUUAGGAUUUUGACCUUUUAACUCGAUAGUAAAAAAGUAAUAAACUUUAUAUACUCAUUAAUUUAUAACUUGACAAUAUAUGUGGCAUAUAUCUCAAUUUUAACUUAACCAUGGUAAUGGAUUAGUGAGAUUGGGUUUUCUAAAUAUAAUUUUUUAAAGUUACUUGCAUUAUCCCGCAAUAAAUAUACUAUUAUGGUUAAAUUGAAAAAAGCAUGAUAGUUGUAUAGUUUUUUUAGUAAUUAAGUCUAUAAUUUCUCGUCCUGGUUUGCAUCGUCAAUGAUCGAUUCCGCUAAUUUAGCUACGUACAGGCAGAGGUGGCCAAACGGGCCAAACCGCCCGGACCGACCGCCCCGAAACCGCUUUUUUAACCGUCUGUGAACGUACAAAACCGGGCCGGGCUGAACCGGCACGGAUCGUAGAAAAUUACGUGCCGAAUACGGGUUGGAGAGGUGGGGACCGUGAACCGGCACGGCACGGACCGCCGAACCGUGACGAACCGGCACGGCACGGCACGCCAAACCGGCACGGCCCGUGCAAUGCAUUCAGUUGUUUCACAUGUUUGCAUGUCUUGCAAAAGUUUAGUUCUUAUAUUAGUUUAAUUGAUUUUAGUUUUGUUGAUUAAUUUAGUUAGAUUAAUUUGAUUUAAUCGAUUUCGGUUUAGUUUUUAAUUUCAUAUUGUGUUGUGAAUUAUUUCAAUUUAGUUUAAAAUAUUUGAUUUAGUUUUUAAUUAUGAUUUAGUUUUAGAAUUUGAUUUCGUUUUACAAUUUAAUUAGUGUUUUAAUAUAUUAAUAUGUUUUAAUUAGUUUUUUUUAGGUUUUGUUAUUUA
rnacentral:lncRNA from 1 species